rnacentral:lncRNA from 1 species
CCCUGCAGCAGCCGCAGACCUAAAUCAGGACAACGAAGGUCUAAUCGACCAUGGCAUGAAUAAUAUCCUCACCAUUGUCACUCUAUUUCUCUCUUCCCCACUCACUCUCUCGUACAUAUGACCGAAUUUCUACAGAAUUUAAUUUGUACAAAAAAAAGAAAGAUAAAAAACAAAUGGAUAUAUGCAGAGUAAAGAAGCUCUUAACUCUGAAGUGAAGCGUAGUGAAACCAAGGAAUUAGAUGCCCAAAUUAUUUGCGCACUGAGCACCCAGGACCCACGACCCAGGACCCAAAACCCAAGACAGAAAAGCCUAUGUUCAAUUUCUCAUCCACAAUUAUUGUACCGUACUCAUUCUGCUUAUACAUUGUGUAUUAAAUAUCUUCGGUUCCUUUUCUCUUCCAACUUUCUCCCUUCACUCAUUCCUGCAUAAUUGCUUGUGACUAUUUCAACUCCAUACCUUCUGAAUUUACAAUCUACUUUUUCACCGAACCAUGAACAAAGUGUCCACUUUCAGUCUGCUACUAUUAAAACAAAAGAAAUAAAAGCAUAACUAAUUACAACUCAGUGUUUAAAAAUUACAUCUUCACAAUAGUUCCUAACGCUAAUAUCAUUUUAUAUACUUGCUAAACCUUUCUGCUCCUAUUUGUCUUGUAUCAGUAAUAUUCAAAGCUUCAAAAGCUUCAAAACUCUUAUGCACUGCUUACUUCAAAAAAUUGACUGCAACAAACAUUUUACAAGAUAUCCACCACUCUGAAAGACCACAGUACAUAAUCAUACUGAUCUAUUAUAGUAGACUGUACUAGCCUCACAUGUAAUGCUUCUGUAUAUUUCAACUCCAACUUUUGAACUAAAAGACAUACAAAAAAAUGACAAACCAAUACCAUGCACGCGUGAAUCACGUCUAAUCAAUUUUCACAGCAAACUAAUUUCAAACAAAGCUCUUGCACAUACAAAUUUCGAUCUAUAAAUACAAACAUAACAUUAUUCCUGUCGCGCCCCAUUUUUCGCGAUAGAAAAAUAAAAGGUGUUUAUAAAAAGAUGUGAUUUAUUAAUAAUAAAUGAAAAAGGACCUAGAAUGAGACUUAAAAAGAAUGCGACAAUUCGGGUCCAAAAUUUAAUCUAAAAGGGUUUUCAAGAAAAGAUAGGAGUCGCCACUUGGUAUGGAGUUUUGGUGUUCCAAGUCACCCAAAAAAUAGAGUAAAAUAAAAUAAAACCCUUUUUGACAACUCCAGGUAUUUGAAAACAAGAGAAAAUGGAUUCGGGAGUCACGGUUGAAGAAGGGGAAGGCAAAUGUUCGAUUAACUCAAACCUCAGGCACUCUUUCAACUUAGUCUAAGCUAGUUGCAAGGUUAAGUCAAAAUUUUCCUAAUAUAACCCUUAAUUUAUCACAUUUGGAUGUUUUCUACAUGGAUGCAAAUCUAAAUUUAUAAAAUAUCGAAAGAGUCAAAAUAUCCAUUCAAGGGUUUAAUCGAACCAAUCGCAUUAAUUUACGAAGGCCAAAAUGAUUCCUUGAAAGUGUCACGAGUAUGCGAAUGAUGAAAUUAAAAUAAAGAAAAGAAAUUAAAUUAUAUACAUAUAUAUAAGUGAUAAAAAAAAAGGGAAUGCAACAUAAAGGGUACGGGAGGCAAAAACUCAUGACAUAAUUUUCUUAUGCAUGGAUUAAUAGGAUAUUUAAACUAAAAAGUUAUAAUCACCCAUUUUCCAUGUUUGAAAAAUAAUUAUCCUAACAUGAACAAGCAAAUGAACUAGUUUAAAUGAGAUGCAAUUCUAAAUAACAUGAUUAGCACUUAUAGCGGGUAGGGGAUAAUAUAAUAGGGAAUAUCAUACAAAUGAAAAAAGAUCCUAAAAGUGAAAAUAUGCAUGAGAAUGUAGUGAAUAUCACACAAAAAUGAAUCUAGCGCAAGUCGGCCUAAAGGGUCUAGUAUUGGACUAACCCAUUUCUAAAAAUCCUUAUUAGCGUUGGACUAGCAAGUAAGCAGAGGGAAAAGCCACAACUAGCGUUGGACUAGUGUGGUGACGUCAUGCAUUAACAAUUCAUAGUGAAACAAAUAAAACUUAAAUUAAAACAAAUAAACGCAUAAGAGCACGUAGCACAUAACACGUAAACAUAAUAUCUAGAUGCCAAAAUCCUAAGAAAAGCAGAUAAAACACAUAACACAUAAGCCACAUAAACACGCAACCUAUCUAUUACAUCGGGGAAUCUAACUACAAUCUAAAAAUGGGAAAGAUAUGAUAAGAUAAAAUUAGUGAUCCUAUCUAUUACAUUUUUGAAGUAUUUAAAUGCCUCUCGGAUAAUUAUAAAAAUUAACUAAACAAAUAUAAUAUAAGAAAAUUUAAAUGAACAUUUAAACCUAAUAAAUAAAGCAUAUAAAAAUAUAUAAACACAUAGGAACACAUAGGAGCACAUAAGAGCACGUAAUUGACAUUGAAAUAAUAAAAAUAGGAGUACCUCCCGUUUGAAGUGGUAACUAAAUGGAAUCAAAUUGUCCUAUUUAUACUCACAAUGAACAAAAAGAAUCAUGGCACCAAUUUAAUUGAAAAAAAAAUAAAAAAAUAGUAAAAGUACUAAAUUCACACUAAUAUGUCAAACGUAAAGAAAUUUAAGAAAAUCUAAAAAUUACAAGUUAAAUAUACUCAGAAGUAACAUAAUUAGCUAUUAAAGAAAAAAAAAUAAUCAUAAUAAAAGAGAGUCAAAAUUCAUUAGGGACUGAAUUGCAAAAUUUAAAAACUUUUGGGGAUAGAAAUAUAAUUUUCCAAAGUUUAGGGGGCCAAAAUUAGAUAAAAUAUAAAGUUUAGGGACCAAAGUGCAAUUAACUUAAGAACCUACAUGAAAGAAAUUUAAAAUGUUCUGAGCCAUAGUGAAAAUACUUGAAAGUACUGGGACUGGUAUGAAAAAAUGUUUUCUUAUUCCUUGACAAAUCAGGUCUCUGGGCCAUUCUCUAUUUUUUCGGGCCAAAGGCCAUCUGGCCCAAACGAAAGUUCAAGCCAAAAUACACAGGCCAGCCCGUCAUUUUAUCACUCAAGCCCAACAAAAACCCAAAAGAAAUAAAACAAAACCCAACUAAAAAGAACCACAAGCCCACCCAAAAAUAAAACAGCAGCCCAAACCAUUUUUUUCUUUUCCUUCCUUCUUUUCUUUCUUUUCUUUUCUUUCUUCUUCCUCACCGUUUCUUUAUCUCCUUCUUCAGCCAAAACUUUAGCUGGUGGCCAUGGCGGCCGCCGGCGACCUCUCAAGUCACCAAAAUUUCUCAAAAUGCAUCUCCCCACUCCAUUUUUCGCGUAGAUUCCCUUUCCGGAGUUAGUUUUUACAAAAAAUGACCCAAAAGUGGCCAAAAUGAGAAGAAAUCAGUCCAGUUUUGAUUUUUUCAAAACACCAUAUCCUUCACCAAAAAUCAUAAAAAUUAUACUAUAACACUCCUUGCAACCUCUACAAUACAACUACGAUUUUAAUUCGACAAGAAGGCAACAUAAAAAGGGCUAAAAUAAAGCAAAACAGCCCCCUAAAAUUUUUUUUUUCAUUUUUUGGCAUUUUUUCAAACAGUUAACAUGCAUAUACAAAAAUCAUUAUUCUUUUCCUAAUUUUGUUCAUGACCCAUCCCAAAAUUCAGCAACUCAACAGCCAAGGAAACCAGCAAAAGCAAAAGAAAAUUAAACAAUGAAGCAUGGACUUACUGUGCUAAACAAAACUUAAAUUACCUCAAUGUAGGUGUGUGUGAGAUUGAGAGGGGAAAGGGAAAGGAGAACCGAGAGACUGAGAGGGAUUUUUCUUCUUCUUCUUGUGUGUUUUCUGUUUCUUUCCUCUGCCCAGGUUCGAGAGAGGGAAAGAGCGAGCCGUCUGCAAAGUGAGGGAGUGUUUUCUUCUUUUUUUUUUUUGUGAGGGAGAGAGCCGAGAGAUGUGUUUUGGGGAGAGAGAAAGGCAGUCUUUUUCUUCUUCUUGUUCUGUGACCUUUUUUCCGUCCUCUGUCUGUGAGAGCCGAGAGAGAAGAUUGAGGAAGUAAAGGUGGGGAGUUUGUGUGUUGGAUCUUCCAAAAUGAUUUUUUCUCCACCUAAUGAAAAGAAAGGUGCAUGGGAUAAAAUGAUGAUUUCUUCCAAAUAAAAAAAAGAAAGAUGCAUGGAGUUUUUGAGUGCAAAAAUGGAUCAAUAGUGCAUUUGGUGAAAGAGCAAUAAUUAUGAGAAGAUUUUUGAUUUCUUGAUUUUUUUUUUUUUGUGUUUGUUUUUUUUUUUGGUCCUAAAAUAAACCUGCAAAAAAAAUGAGAAAAAUACACAUUAAAAUGUAAGAAAAUAAAUAACUCAUUAAAUAGAAAAAACUCACUAAAAUAUUAAAGAUUGACAAAAAUUUGGUGUCUACAGCUUGCCCCUCUUUGUCUAGAGUUUCAAAGAAACUCAAGACAAAGACGUAGACACCAAAUUGCUUACCUGUCUCUUGUAGUUGCACCUGAACUAAAAUAAACAAGCCAACACUUGGCUGAAAUUAUUGGAUAAAAUGAUGCAAUAACAUUGCAGAAAAUGUGACCGAACUCAUGUAGAGUUGCCUACGUAUCCCACCAUAGGAAUCAGGUCAAACGUAGUUUGAAUGCAAGUGAACCACAAUGAAACAAGUGCAUUGACCAACUGUGAAAUUUGCAAAGUCGAAAAAGUUUGAGCUCUUAGAACUUCUAAACAUGAAACACAAAAUGAAUGAGAAAGCACAAUUAUUAAUCAAAACAGUCAAGAAAAGUAACUUGUCAUAACUAGAAAAAGAUGCGCGGAGGGACGCGGUUAUGCUUCAAGAAGGGGGAUAGAAGAGUGCGCGGCGGGCGCUGAGACUCACCAACAAAAAUUAAAUUUGUCAAGAAGAGGAGGUAGAAGGGUGCGCGGUGGACGCUGAGACUCACCAACAGAAAAUUAAAUUUGUCUUUUAGAAAAAAAAAUGCGCUGAGGGACGCAAUUACGCUCCAACAGGAAAUUAAAUUGUCAAGAAGGGGAGAUAGAAGGGUGCGCGGUGGGCGCUGAGACUCACCAACAGGAAUUUAAAUUGUCAAGAAGGGGAGGUAGAAGUGUGCGCGGUGGACGCUGAGACUCACCAACAGGAAUUUAAAUUUGUCAAGAAGGGGGACAGAAGGGUGCACGGUGGACGCUGAGACUCACCAACAGGAAAUUAAAUUGAUGCGCGGAGGGACGCGAUUACGCUCCAACAGAAAAUUAAAUUUGUCAAGAAUGGAAGGUAGAAGGGUGCGCGGUGGACGCUGAGACUCACCAACGGAAAUUUAAAUUGAUGCGCGGAGGGACGCGAUUACGCUCCAACAGGAAAUUAAAUAUGAUGAUGAUUUUUUUUUCUUUUUUAAAUGACAGAUGGGUGGGAUAGACUCUAGCCCAAUUAAAUAUUGAAAGAAAUGAAAACGCAAGUCGAAUACUAUCAAACUGACAGAUUAAAAUGCAUGUUGUUCAAGUUGUAAUAAAUCAAGACAAACUUACUUAGCGGACUUACAACUUUCUUGAUUGAUUUUUUUUUCGAACUUUAAAAGAAAGGGAAUUAUGAUUUUUCUUUCUUUCUUCGAAAAAGUACAGCAAAACAUGGAGCUCAAUCCUUCUACCAUUUGCCCCAGCGUCAAUCAUGCUCAACUAAGCCAGUAUUGUGUCACAUAAUCUUUCCUGUAAAAAGGAAAAAAAAGAAAAAGAAGCAACUAUGAUGAAAAGACUGCCACCACCACGUGAUCCCUUUGCCUUGAGAACCAUGUAAACAUGAGUUUCAAUAUCGACCAAUCGCUCCCUUAGGUUCAGCCGACAACCCUUCAGAAGCUUUGCAACUGUCAAAUGUCAAUUGUUCGCACUUUAGUAUCAUAGGACCUUAAAUUUCAUGACUCUUUAGAGAUAAAUUAUAGGGGAUUGUCUUUUGAAUGAGACCCAAAAAAAUGAAAAAUAUAAACAAUUAAAAAAGUAGUAUUCAUCAUGCAAUAAUACUAAUAUGAAAUAAACAAUGAUACACAAUAAAUAAAUGAAAUAGCAAAUAGAAUAGUAAAACAAAAUUGUUGAAUUUUUGAAUAUAGGCCCAAGGAUCCAAAUUUGGAUUCGUAUUUAGAGGAUGGCCUUUGAUGAGGAAAAAUGCUCCAUCUGACCCUUUCGUAGUCAUCCAUUUUGGAAUUUAUUGUCGGCAAAAGAACAACAGUAUGAAAGAGACCCAAAUCAACAUAGUCACCAGUUUUCAGACCUCAACAUCUUCUUCUCUGUUACUGAUUCUCUUGUACUCCAAAACCCUACCUCAGCGCCCUUUCGGGUUUUCACUAAGGUUACCCCCACCCUUUUAAUUUUUUUUUCUUUUUUUUUUGUUUUUGUUGUUGUUUUUUUUGUUUUUGUUGUUUUUUUUUCUCUUUUUUUUUACUCUUUUUUUUUUACUCUUUUUUUUUUAAGGUGUCCUUUCAGGUUUUCACCUAAAGACAUAGACAAGACAAUUUUAACCCCAACCGUAUCAUUGCAAUCAUACUCUGAUAAUGAGUAGCAUCAGUGAGAUAAUCUUUUCUGACAUGUUUCAGAAAAGUUUGUAUUUACAUCAUUUGCUAGUUGAUUAAGAAAAAAUUUUCAAAAAUACUGCAAAAGAUGAAAUUUGGCAAAGGAAAGGUUAAGGCUUGAAAGGCUUGACAGCGGAUCAUAUGAUGAGUUUGCAAUCAUUUGAAAUAGCAUUCUUUCAAAACUUACCCCAAUCUAGGAUGAGAAAGAGAUAAAAUUUGCCCCAGUUUAAUUCUGACAGAAUCUCUAUUUUCUUCUUUUUUUCACUUUUUUCUUUUUUUUCUUUUCUUUUUCUGUUUUUUUUUUUUAGAAACAAAUUGCCCCAGUAUGGGGUUAGUGAUCUUAAGGGACAGCCAAGCGAAAAGGAAAAUGGUUAUGAAAAGUCAAAAGGAAAGAAGAAAAUUUAGGGAUAGAAUAUCGAAAUGGAAAAAUGAGGGAAGUAUGCCUGAAAUCCGUCUCUUGCAGUAUUUUAAAAUUUUUUUUUAUAAUCAAAUAAAAAACUUUUUGCACAUGUCUGCAUUGAUUGGUUGGGGAAAAACUUGACCGUCCAUUUCCAUAAGAAUAAACGCUCCUCCGGAUAGCACUUUCUUAACAAUGAAUGGUCCUUGCCAAUUGGGAGCAAACUUCCCUUAAGCCUCAUCUUGCAUUGGAAGAAUCCGUUUCAAAACCUUAUCUCCAACGUCAAACAAACGGGGCUUGACUUUUUUGUUGUAAGCCCGAGCCAUUCGUUGCUGAUAACAUUGUCCAUGGCAGACAGCAUUCAACCUCUUUUCAUCAAUGAAAGACAAUUACUCCUGACGUUCUCGGACCCAUUCAGUUUCUUCUAUCUGAGCCUCCAUUAGAAUGCGUAAGGAAGGAAUUUCAACUUCUGCAGGCAGUACUGCUUCCAUUCCAUACAUAAGAGAGUAAGGAGUUGCCCCUGUAGAAGUUCUGAUUGUAGUUCUGUACGCCAUCAGUGCAUAAGGCAGUUUCUCAUGCCAAUCCCGGUGUGCUUCAGUCAUCUUACGAAUAAUCUUUUUCAAAUUCUUAUUUGCGGCUUCGAUGGCUCCAUUCAUCUUAGGCCUGUAAAUGGCAGAAUUUCGAUGUCUGAUUUUGAACUAUUCACAUAAUCCAUCCACCAUAUCAUUGUUGAGGUUUUUGGCAUUAUCGGUGAUCAACGUCUCUGGUACCCCAAAACGACAGAUGAUAUUAUUUCUCAAGAAAUCCGACACCACUUUCUUAGUCACAUGCUUAUAGGACGCAGUCUCAACCCAUUUGGUGAAAUAUUCAAUCGCCACUAAAAUGAAUCGAUGCCCAUUUGAAGCAGGAGGAUCAAUAGUUCCGAUCACAUCCAUUCCCCAAAUCGAACAUGGCUAUGGAGCAGUUGUACUAUGUAAUUCUGUAGGAGGAGCACGUAUAACAUCACCAUGCAUUUGACACUUAACACAUUUUCUAACAAAAUCUACACAGUCAUGCUCCAUGGUAAGCUAAAAAUAUCCUGUUCUCAUGAUCUUCUUAGUCAGUAGAUGCCCAUUCAUGUGUGGUCCGCAAACCCCACUAUGCACUUCUUUCAUCAUAUAAUCGGCUUCCUCUUCAUUGAUGCAUCUCAGAAGGCCCAAAUCAGAUGUUUUCUUGUAUAGCACUUCUCCAUUCAAGAAAAAUCUUGCUGACAUCCUGCGUAAGAAACUUUUUGCAACAGAAUCAGCGUCAGGAGGGCAGGAUCCCGUUUUCAUGAAUUCCUUAAUAUCAUUGUACCAGGAGCGACCAUCAAUGACCCUUUCCAUAACCAGACAGUGCGCUGGCCUAUUCUGAAGUUGGAUCUGUAUAGGUUCAAUCACCAGCUCAUCUGGAUGUUGGAUCAUCGAAGACAAAGUAGCUAAAGCAUCAGCAAAGGCAUUACGAGUGCGGGGAAUAUGUCUGAGUUCCAAAUUCCUGAAUUUACUAGCCAAACUAAGCAAGUUACAAUGAUAUAACAUAAUUUUUUAUCCCGAGUUACCCACUGUUUAAGCGUCUGGUGCACAAGUAAAUCGGAAUCACUAAAUGCUAUCAGGUCUUUGAUAUCCAUGUCCAAUGCCAUUUUCAAUCCAAAAAUGCAAGCUUCAUACUCGGCCAUGUUGUUGGUACAAGGAAACCGUAAUUUGGCCGUAGCGGGAUAGUGCUUCCCUUCAGGCGACACUAAAACUGCUCCAAUUCCGGCUCCGAAAGAAUUUGACGCACCGUCGAAAAAUAACCUCCAUCCAGGAUACUGCUCACUCAUGUCCUCAACUGCUCCAAUGAACAGAAUUUCUUCAUCAGGAAAGUAGGUAUGCAAUGGCUGGUAAUCAUCAUCUCUUGGAUUUUCUACCAAAUGAUCUGCUAUAGCUUGACCCUUGACUGCCUUUUGUGUUGUGAAGACAAUAUCGAACUCGGAAAGGAUCAUUUGCCACUUAGCCAUGCGUUCCGUGGGCAUCGACUUUUCCAAUAGGUAUUUUAGAGGAUCAGAACGGGAAAUCAAGUAAGUGGUAUAACCGAGCAAAUAAUGUCUCAACUUCUGAGCUGCCCAUGCUAAAGCACAACAACUUCUCUCAAGGAAAGAAUAGUUGGCUUCAUAUGCCGUAAAUUUCUUGCUCAGAUAGUAGAUGGCUUGCUCCUUUCUCCCAGACUCAUCAUGCUAUCCCAGAACGCAUCUGACAGCCUCAUCAAGAACAGACAAAUACAUAAUCAGAGGUCUUCCUGGCUGAGGUGGCACUAAGAUCGAAGGAUUUAACAAAUAAUUCUUGAUCUUAUCAAAAGCCUGCUGACAAUCUUCAUUCCAAUCCAUUGGCGCAUUCUUUUUCAACAGUUUGAACAAAGGCUCACAGGUAGAGGUUAACUGUGCAAUGAAUCGGCCAAUGAAAUUGAUUUUUCCAAGAAAACUCUUCACAUCUUUUUGACUUUUUGGAAUGGGCAUAUCUCGAAUUGCUUUUAUUUUUACAGGAUCUAUCUCUAUACCGUUUUUGCUGAUAAUAAAACCCAUUAACUUACCAGUCGGAGCACCAAAAGCACAUUUCGCAGGGUUCAACUUCAAAUUAUACUUCCUCAAUCUUUCAAAUAGCUUCUUUAAAUCAACCAAAUGGUUCUCGACCUUCUUGGAUUUAAUUAUGGUAUCAUCCACAUAGACCUCCAUCUCUUUGUGAAUCAUGUCAUGGAACAGAGUAGUCAUUGUCCUCUGAUAAGUGGCUCCAGUAUUCUUCAACCCGAAAGGCAUCACUCUAUAACAAAAGGUUCCCCAUGGGGUGAUAAAAGACGUUUUCUCUUUGUCUUCUUCGGCCAUUAAGAUUUGAUGAUACCCAGCAAAACAAUCACCAAAAGAUUCAAUUUCGUGUCCAGCAGUAUUGUCCAAAAGAAUAUGAAUGUUUGGCAAAGAAAAAUCGUCUUUCGGACUGGCCUUAUUCAGAUCUCUGUAAUCAACACAUACUCACACCUCCCCAGAUUUCUUAAGCACUGGCACAAGAUUCGAUAGCCAGAUGGGGUAAUGAGACACCAUGAUUAUCUUAGCAUUGAGCUGUUUCACAAUUUGUUCCUUUAUUUUGAGACUCAUUUCUGGUUUGAAUUUACGUGGCUUCUGCUUUACAGGUAAAAAAUUUUGGAUCAGUUGGCAACCUAUGAACCACUAUGUCUGUAGAGAUCCCUGGCAUAUCAUUGUAUGACCAUGCAAACACAUCUUGAAAAAGUAUUAAGAAUUCAAUCAUUUCCUCCUUCUGUCUCUUAUUCAAAUGAAUGCUGACUUUAACUUCUUUAACCUCCGUUUUAGUGCCAAUAUUGAUGAUUUCUGUUUCUUCUAAGUUGGAUUUGGGUUUCUCUUCAUACUGUUUUAAAUCCCUUGAAAUAAACUCAAAUUCUUCGUCAGUAUCGCUUCGCUUUGAAUUUCAGAUUGCAUAAUUUCAAGUUCAUGAGAGAUAUCGAGAUUGCAGCCAUCGAAUUUCAAAAUGGUGACAUCCAAAGGGUCAAAGGAUUUUAUUUGUGGCCAUCUGAAAAUAGAAUAGAGCAUAAGUAAUAAAUAAAUAGCAAAUACUGGAGAAGUCUUUCAUUUCAUUAGAUUCAAAAUGCAUCGAGACUUCACAAAAAGAUAAAUAUACAGAUAUGAUUGCUAUUUAAAGACAUAUUUAACCCAAACCUUUAUUUUCGUUUCAGCAAUUUUCUUGAACAAAGCAAGUUAUAUUAAUUGAAACAAGAAUAAAGGUUUAAAAGAUGAAAGCAAUUUUUUUUAACAAAAGAUCCAGACUACUGUCCUAUCUAGAUAUGAUCUAGACAAAAGACAAUCCCCUUAAAUUUACCGAAAUUCCCUUCGAGAGGGAAGGUAAUCAGCAGUCCAAUUCUGAAUAGCUUCUUCGGUAAUUGGCAAAAAUUCUGCAUUCUCUGAUGGCCCCUCCUCACAAGUAGCCCCGACAAAUAGCUGAGACAAGUCCACUUCAAUCUCCUCCACAGGAUUCUUCGUUUCUGCAUAAUCACCUCUGAUGGACGAGGAAAAGUGUUAUAUAGCGGAGGGAUAUUUAAGGCAGUUUGCUUGCCCUUCUUUUCAGCUUGCUUUCGAGCUUGCAUUUCCUUUCUAUCCUUAGCAGUUGGAUGAAAUCCCAGUCCAAAUGUAUCCUUUUGCGUUGGGAUCUCUAUCGGCUCCAAAAUUCCUUGCAAUUCUCGCCCAAAACCUCUUCCUAUUUCAUAGCCGCCUCGGAUCAUCUCCCUAGCCAUCAUUAUACUGGCCUCUAGCAAAUCUGAUUGAGUUGGUGACUUAUCCUUGGACGCCCAUCCCACAAAGACGAUGUCAGCAACGUGAUGAGAUUGGAGUCCUUUGUCUGUUUUCACCAUUGAAUUUUGCAUCAACGAUCAUGGUACAGUCAUCGUCAGCAAACACAGUAAUGAGUUGAUCAUUUGCAAUAAACCUCAACAUUUGAUGCAGAGAAGAUGGCACUGAAUUGGAAGCAUGUAUCCAAGGUCUUCCAAGUAAAAUAUUGUAAACGCUGGAGAAGUCCAUGACUUGGCAAGUAACUUGGAAUUGAGCAGGACCUAUCUCCAAUACCAGAUCUGCUUCACCCAUAGAUUCUCUCCUUGAACCAUCAAAUCCUCGAACCACAGUUGCAGAUGGACGGAGUUUAAUAUCAAGAAAUCCAAGCUUGGUGAGAGUGUUCCAUGGACAGAUAUUCAACGCUGACCCAUUAUCCACUAAAACCCUCGGCAACAGCUUUCCAUUGCAAGGGACUGAUAUAUACAAAGCUCUGUUAUGCCCGAUCCCUUCUGUAGUCAGAUCAUCAUCGGAGAAGGCAAUAUGAUUAGCAGGAAGUACAUUCCCCACAAUGUUAGAAAAUUUAUCCACUGGAAUAUCUUUAGAGAUUUGGGGUUCGUUCAGAAUUUUGAGCAAUGCUUCUCUGUGCAGCUCGGAAGUCAAGAGAAGAUUCAGAAAAGAAAUCUGAGCAGGCAUCCUAUCCAACUGCUCCACUAUUUUGUAUUCACUUCUCUUCAGCAUCUUCAGAAAAUCUACAGCUUCAUUUUCAGACACACGAGGCUUGGGUGUCGGAGAUUUAACCUUGGCCCUGAAUUGAACAUCAAUAUCGAAGUUUCCCACAAUUUUUUCAGACCUAGUAAUAGUAGAUAUAUCUUCCUUCAAGCAAUCUUUACCCCCAAUUAACAGACUGGGCUCCUCGUAGUUCCAUGGUACAUUUUGCAAGUCAUUGAUAGGCAUUUGCUCUGGAAAUUCGAGAUUGGCAGGCUCUGAUAUAUCUCAUUCAAAAGAUGGAAGAUCCAAAAUAAAAGGAACUUCAGAAUUGUCAACCUCGGAAGGUCCUCCUUCUACUAUAAACGGCUCCUCUUUCUCAAACACAAAAGAUUUUAACUUUUCCUCAGCAUUAUCCUUAGUUAUGGACUCUUCAACAGACAGUAAUUUCCUCAUCUCCGCAUGGUCAGUCUCCAUCAUGCCAAACACUUCAGUUUCAUCUACAAUGUACUGACUGGGGUCGACAAAAUCUUCAUCAGCGAUGAUAACCCCCACAGUGCUCCCAUGCUCAGGUAGAGGAUUCUUACUAACAUUCGGUCCUUGCUCUCCCUUUCUUCUGAGAAGGAUGUCUCCAGAAUCAAUCAUGUCCUGAAUCUUAUGUUUUAAAGCCCAACAAUUGCCAGUGGUAUGACCUGGACUUCCAGAAUGAUAAGCACAGAUUGCAUGCGGAUCAUAACCGGUAGGAGGACCUCUGGGAUAGAUUUUGGGAGGAACAGUGCCAAUUUUUUCAGCUGCUUUUAAUUGCUCAUACAACUAAUCAAUAGGUCGGCCCAAGUUGGUGAAGGUUCGAAAUUGCUUCUGAGUUUGAAUUCCACUGGUUUGCAAAGGAUUUUGAGAAGGGUUAUUGUUUUGCAGGGUUGGUCUGGAAUGGUAAAUAGGACGAGAGUGAUUUUGAAAGACAGGUUGUGGAGUUGGAGGUAAGGGCGAGGUAUUCAAAUGAUUUGGUCGGGAAUGAUGGAAUUGGGUAGUAGUGUGGUAGACUGGUUGAGGAUUGGUGUAAUAGGGGUAAGGAAAAGAAUAGGUGGGAUGGUUUUUGGGUCUGAAAAACGGACCUUGAUCCCAUAUAAAAGCAGUAUCACCUUCUUUCUUCUUGAAUGGGGGCUUUUUCCCAUUGUUGUUUUGAUUUUGUAGAGCAUCCAAUUGCAACUUUAAUGCAGACACAUUAACAAUCUUCCCUGCUUUGACAAAUUCAUCAUACUCCUACAAUUUGUUAACGAUAGCAGCAAAUGAACUUCCCGUCAUGCGGAAGGUCUCUUCAAAAUAGGGUUGAUCGUGAGCCUUGAUGAAAGUGCGAACAAUCUCCUCCUCAGUCAUAGAGGCUCCACUUUGGCGGCUAACUUUCUCCACCGUUUUACGUAGGUCUUGUGAUCUUCCGACGGCUUUCUUUUCGUAUCCUCCAGUGUGGUUCGUGUUGGUGCCAACUCACAGUUAAUUUCAUACUGCUUCACAAAAGCAGUUGAUAGAUCCAACCAGGUUUUGACUUCUCCAGACUUCAAAUUUGAAUACCAAUCUAGAGCAUCUCCCUCCAAACUUUCCGGAAAUAGACGCAUAGGUAAAUUCUCGUCAUCCAUAGGUUUACCUAACUUGUUGGCAAACAUCUUGAGGUGCGUCUUAGGAUUUCCAGUUCCAUCAUACUUGCUGAAUUUAGAGGUUUUGAAUCCCAACGGUAGCUGAAUAUUUGGGAAAAGACACAAUUCAUCGUAGUCCAAACCACCAUGCCUGCUCAACCCUUGAUUCUUUUUCAUAAAGUCAUCGAAUCGAUCCAACCUUCUUAACAGAUCUUUAUCAACGGGUGUAGGUUGUUCUUCCAUCGCCACCUUCCUUUGAGAUGUAGUAUCUAGUACAAAAGGCUCCGUAAGGUGGUGGUGCGGUCCCUGAGGGUUGGGGGAAAUGUUCAGAUUGGUUUGUGGAUGAGUUUGAGGGAUUUGACUAUUGGUUGGGUUCACCAAUACAUAAUUCGGAUGCAUAUAGGAAAGUCUGAAUUUAAUCGGGCAAAGGUACUUUCAAGAGGGUUAGCGAAAGGAGGAAGGAAAGUUGUUUGGGUAUUGGAUGUGUGGGGUGGUUGAUGGUCUUGUGCAGGUGGGUGAUUAUCGAUAGGUUCUUGGUCGUUGGGGACACCACCAGCACUGUUGCUUGCGACCAACUGAUCAAUUACACGCCUUUGUGCGGCCAUUUCAACACUUAACUCAUUGAACUUGCCAAGCACCUCACUUAAUUGAGCUCCCAAUGCUGUGAAGUCCGGCGAUGUUACUAUAGCAGAUCUUUCCGAAGUUUCUGGUACUGAACUCAUGUUUACAGAUUGUCUCAAGGCUCUACUUCGGGACCUGGUGAUGAUGGGGUUUCUUCGGGUAGCUAUUGUGAAAAAUACCUGAGAGUGGAGAAAAAAACUAAUUUAGGAGUGAAUUUUCUGCCAAAUUGCUGUAAUUUAUUCAAGAAAAAGAAAAGAGAAAGUAAAAAAAAUGAGUUAGUAGAUAUUUAAAUAAUUCAGAUGCAUGUCCUAUGGGGGAGCCCUUUUCUGCCAAGGGUAGGCCUAAUAUGAUGCAACACCUUCGGGGUAAAAUCCCAAUUCCAAACCUGUAAAUGAAUUUAGAAAUCAAAGUAGAAAUUCUCAUUAAACACUGACAGGUUUAAUCAUUUUUUACAGCUUCAUUGAUGGUUCGGUUGACCAUUUUUACAAAAUCCUCAUGCCUUGCCAAACUAGUACGUUGAGACUCCUUAGAUCUUCCUAUACUAAGCUUUCGAAUUCCUUCUUGGAUUUUGUCAAAUGCAUCCAGCGCUCUUUCCAACUUUUCAGUUUUUCUUGUCUCCCACUUUAAUUGUGCUUGGGCGUCUUCCAGGGCAUGGUCGGCCACUAUGAGUUGCAAUUGAUAAUCCUCAAGCUCUUUCUUCAGCUUGUCUAUCUGCUCUUCAAGGCUGACAGGAGCGGACUGUGACUUCUCUCGUGCUUGUUCGACUGUCAGUUUGAUCCACUCAUUAUAUUCUGAAAUGACCUUAGGUUCCAAUUUGUUGACUUGAUCCAAGUGCAAGUUCUCUAAACUAAGAAGAUUUCCCCAAGCUUCCAAUACCAUGCUCCGACUUUCAGCAACUGUGUUGAGUCUGAUACUUUCAAUCCCUUGCAUUACCGGAAUUCUUUCCGAAUACCCAAAUUGCCUCAUGACUCGUUGCGGAACAUACGCGACCAAUCCAUUGGUGCCUGCUAGGGGAAUAAAACUAUGUUGGGUAGUCGUAAAAACUGGAUCCCUAACUUUUGUCCAAUCUAAAACCCAUUGUAUUUUCUCAAGUGUCAAGCUAUUGAACUUUUGAAUAAAUUGACUCGGAGAAGCAAUCCGAUAAUACUUUUUGACCCUUUCUCGGUGUGAUUCGAUCCAAUUCUCUGCGGGGAGACAAGAUCCCAAAGGAUUGAGCGUUCUCUUCGCUAGAUGCUCCAUUGCCCACAUUUGGAGUAUCAAAUUUGAGCCAAAAAAGAAACCUCUCUUCUUUUGCCGUGAAGAUGUCGGCAAUGAUUACAGGUACCAAAGUAGGGGUCAUUCCAUUAAUUCCUGAAAAUAGGCUCUGAACCAUGUUGAUAGUAAAAAAUGUGAUCUUUCCAUGCUUUUGUGGGAACAACAACAGAUUGAUCAAACUAAUCCAAACGCUUGCACUCGCUUCUCUAACCAUUGCUCUUUACUUAUAAAAAAAUCGAUUCGGUACUGUUCAUAGAACCAUCUUUCUCCAAAUCGUUCAUACAGAAACUCUAACGGGCACGAUCUCGCAUUCGAAUGUUGGUUCAUACUAGCUUGCCUUAAUCCCAAAAACCUAUAAAACUGUUCCCUUGUUCCAUUAGUUGGAUAUAUCAUAGGAUAACCUUUCCCAGGUAUCUGCAAUAAUCCCUCUAUUUCUUCUAAAGUUGGUGUUAGUUCACAUUCACCGAAUCGAAAAAUAGAACCUUCUGGAUCCCAAUACCCCAGUAAAAAUUGAAUGAUUGCAACAUUUGGUGUUAUGCUUAGAAGACUCGGUAAAUGUCCCACAUACUUGAACAGUCUCUUCACCUCAUGUGUCAUAUUAUUUUUCCAGUCUGUUAGUUCCCGAGGUAUCUGGUUCAGCAUUCUGCAUGGAGCCAUCUGAGGAGGAAUUUCACUUUUAGUACCUUACCUCGGGAUUUUACCCCUUAGGCAAUACAAAAUCGUAAACAUGCAAGUCUCAUUGGAUUACAUAUCCGAGACAAAAGGUGCUUAUGGCUACCAUGGGAUUCCCUAUGCGGCAUUCCCUCUAUGGUUAAUGCAUGAUGACAAUUUAUUAAAACAUAUUAAAUAUACAAUGAAAUAAUUGAAAUGUGACCUAAAAGUGUCCCAUUUAAAUGCCGGGGUAAGCUUAAAAUUAUGUGCAGUACAUAUGCAUAUGCAAUUAACUAAAAUUUAAACAUGCUUGAUAUAAGAGGCGGUCUUAUCCUAAACGAGUACCAUGUUAGGACUCUUAUUUCUAAAGUUUGUGUAUGCAGAAAAAGGGAAAACAAGGAGAGGUUAGUUCAACAAGUAACAUAUAACACGUUGUGACAAUAAAUGAUACAAGAAUGAAAAGUAAAUAAAGCAAAGAAAAAGGGGUGAAAUCCCUCCCCUCGUGUCUAGUGUUACUAAUCGGGUAAGGUUGACUCUAUUUUAGGUAAUUUCUAAUAUGGAUGCAUGAGGUUUGGCUUACUAAUGCAUCUAGACUUAAUAAGGUUUCAGGCUCCUAAACCUUCAGAUCAAAAGGCUAAAGGUCAUCAAUCCCAAAGCCUUCGAUCGGUGGUUUGAGUGAUCCCUUAGGCAUCGCUAUGGGUGCAGAGCACAUCAUCUGCAUACCUAAGGAAAUCGAUUCUUGUCCUAUAAGGAAAUGUGGGAUGGCGCCCACGAAAAAAUAAAAAUAGGAUGAAAGUAAUGCAUGCACGUAUGAGGUGCUUCCUUUUGAGGGGGGGGAUUAUAAUUAAACAAGCAUGGAGGCUCUAAGGUGAUAUAUCCCCCACCCAAGAUGCAAGCGCGAUACAAGUAUAUAAACAUAAACAGAUGAAAAAUAAAUAAACAAAUUAUCGCAUACGUGGAUAUCGAGAGACGGUCGCUUGUGCGAAAUGCAAUAAUCCUAGAAAUGAGAAAAAAAAGAAAAAAUCAAAGAAAUAUGCAACCUAAACAUCCAAAUAUGAUAAGUGAAAGGGUUAGAAGGAGAAAAGACAACUAAACCAAGUGCUUGGAUUCUCUAGCGUCCCCAGUGGAGUCGUCAAGUUGUCGCGCCCUAUUUUUCGCGAUGGAAAAAUAAAAGGUGUUUAUAAAAAGAUGUGAUUUAUUAAUAAUAAAUGAAAAAGGAUCUAGAAUGGGACUUAAAAAGAAUGCGACAAUUCGGGUCCAAAAUUUAGUGUAAAAGGGUUUUCAAGAAAAGAUAGGAGUCGCCACUUGGUAUGGAGUUUUGGUGUUCCAAGUCACCUAAAAAAUAGAGUAAAAUAAAAUAAAACCCUUUUUGACAACUCCAGGUCUUUGAAAACAAGAGAAAAUGGAUUCGGGAGUCACGGUUGAAGAAAGGGAAGGCAAAGGUUCGAUUAAUUCAAACCUAAGGCACCCUUUCAACCUAGUCUAAACUAGUUGCGAGGUUAAAUCAAAAUUUUCCUAAUAACCCUUAAUAUAUCACAUUUGGAUGUUUUCUACAUGGAUGCAAAUCUAAAUUUAUAAAAUAUCGAAAGGGUCAAAAUAUCCAUUCAAGGGUUUAAUCGAACCAAUCGCAUUAAUUUGCAAAGGCCAAAAUGAUUUCUUGAAAGUGUCACGAGUAUGCGAAUGAUGAAAUUAAAAUAAAGAAAAGAAAUUAAAUUAUAUACAUAUAUAUAAGUGAUCAAAGAAAAAUGGAAUGCAACAUAAAGGGUACGGGAGGCAAAAACUCAUGACAUAAUGUUCUUAUAUAUGGAUUAAUAGGGUAUUUAAACUAAAAAGUUAUAAUCACCCAUUUUCCAUGUUUGAAAAAUAAUUAUCCUAACAUGAACAAGCAAAUGAACUAACUUAAAUGAGAUGCAAUUCUAAAUGACAUGAUUAGCACCUAUAACGGGUAGGGGAUAAUAUAAUAGGGAAUAUCAUACAAAUGAAAAAAGAUCCUAAAAGUGAAAAUAUGCAUGAGAAUGUAGUGAAUAUCACACAAAAAUGAAUCUAGCCAAGUCGGCCUAAAGGGUCUAGCAUUGGACUAACCCAUUUCUAAAAAUCCUUAUUAGCGUUGGACUAGCAAGUAAGCAGAGGGAGAAGACACAACUAGCGUUGGACUAGUGUGGUGACGUCAUGCAUUAACAAUUCAUAGUGAAACAAAUAAAACUUAAAUUAAAACAAAUAAACACAUAAGAGCACGUAGCACAUAACACGUAAACAUAAUAUUUAGAUGCCAAAAUCCUAAGAAAAGCGGAAAAAACACAUAACACAUAAGCCACAUAAACACGCAACCUAUCUAUUACAUCGGGGAAUCUAACUACAAUCUAAAAAUGGGAAAAAUAUGAUAAAAUAAAAUUAGUGAUCCUAUCUAUUACAUUUUUGAGGUAUUUAAAUGCCUCUCGGAUAAUUAUAAAAAUUAACUAAACAAAUAUAAUAUAAGAAAAUUUAAAUGAACAUUUAAAUCUAAUAAAUAAAGCAUAUAAACAUAUAUAAACACAUAGGAACACAUAGGAGCACAUAAGAGCACGUAAUUGACAUUGAAAUAAUAAAAAUAGGAGUACCUCCCGUUUGAAGUGGUGACUAAAUGGAAUCAAAUUGUCCUAUUUAUACUCACAAUGAACAAAAGAAUCAUGACACCAAUUUAAUUGAAAAAAAAAUAAAAAAAAUAAUAAAAGUACUAAAUUCACACUAAUAUGUCAAACGUAAAGAAAUUUAAGAAAAUCUAAAAAUUACAAGUUAAAUAUACUCAGAAGUAACAUAAUUAGCUAUUAAAGAAAAGAAACAAUCAUAAUAAAAGAGAGUCAAAAUUCAUUAGGGACUGAAUUGUAAAAUUGAAAAACUUUUGGGGAUAGAAAUAUAAUUUUUCCAAAGUUUAAGGGGCCAAAAUUAGAUAAAAGAUAAAGUUCAGGGACCAAAGUGCAAUCAACUUAAGAACCUACAUGAAAGAAAUUUAAAAUGUUCUGGACCAUAGUGAAAAUACUUGAAAGUACUGGGAUUGGUAUGAAAAAACGUUUUCUUAUUCCUUGACAAAUCAGGUCUCUGGGCCAUUCUCUAUUUUUUCGGGCCAAAGGCCAUCUGGCCCAAACGAAAGUUCAAGCCAAAAUACACAGGCCAGCCCGUCAUUUUAUCACUCAAGCCCAACAAAAACCCAAAAGAAAUAAAACAAAACCCAACUAAAAAGAACCACAAGCCCACCCAAAAAUAAAACAGCAGCCCAAACCAUUUUUUUCUUUUCCUUCCUUCUUUUCUUUCUUUUCUUUUCUUUCUUCUUCCUCACCGUUUCUUUAUCUCCUUCUUCAGCCAGCUAAAGUUUCUUCAGCUAUUUUCUUCAGCUGGUGGCCAUGGCGGCCGCCGCCGGCGCCACCGCCGGUCGCCGGCGACCUCUCCAGUCGCCAAAAUUUCUCAAAAUGCACCUCCCCACUCCAUUUUUCGCGUAGAUUUCUUUUCCGGAGUUAGCUUUUACAAAAAAUGACCUAAAAGUGGCCAAAAUGAGAAGAAAUCAGUCCAGUUUUGAUUUUUUCAAAACACCAUAUCCUUCACCAAAAAUCAUAAAAAUUAUACUAUAACACUCCUUGCAACCUCUACAAUACAACUACGAUUUUAAUUCGACAAGAAGACAACAUAAAAAGGGCUAAAAUAAAGCAAAACAGCCCCCUAAAAUUCUUUUUUCAUUUUUGGCAUUUUUUCAAACAGUUAACAUGCAUAUACAAAAAUCAUUAUUCUUUUCCUAAUUUUGUUCAUGACCCAUCCCAAAAUUCAGCAACUCAACAGCCAAGGAAACCAGCAAAAGCAAAAGAAAAUUAAACAAUGAAGCAUGGACUUAAUGUGCUAAACAAAACUAAAAUUACCUCAAUGUAGGUGUGUGUGAGAUUGAGAGGGGAAAGGGAAAGGAGAACCGAGAGACUGAGAGGGAUUUUUCUUCUUCUUCUUGUGUGUUUUCUGUUUCUUUCCUCUGCCCAGGUUCAAGAGAGGGAGAGAGUGAGCCGUCUGCAAAGUGAGGGAGUGUUUUCUUCUCUUUUUUUCUGUGAGGGAGAGAGCCAAGAGAUGUGUUUUGGGGAGAGAGAAAGGCAGUCUUUUUCUUCUUCUUGUUCUGUGACCUUUUUUCCGUCCUCUGUCCGUGAGAGCCUAGAGAGGAGAUUGAGGAAGUAAAGGUGGGGAGUUUGUGUGUUGGAUCUUCCAAAAUGAUUUUUUCUCCACCUAAUGAAAAGAAAGGUGCAUGGGCUAAAAUGAUGAUUUCUUCCAAAUAAAAAAAAGAAAGAUGCAUGGAGUUUUUGAGUGCAAAAAUGGAUCAAUAGUGCAUUUGGUGAAAGUGCAAUAAUUAUGAGAAGAUUUUUUAUUUCUUGAUUUCUCUUUUUUUUUGUGUUUGUUUUUUUUUUGUCCUAAAAUAAACCUGCAAAAAAAUGAGAAAAAUACACAUUAAAAUGUAAGAAAAUAAAUAACUCAUUAAAUAGAAAAAACUCACUAAAAUAUUAAAGAUUGACAAAAAUUUGGUGUCUACAAUUCCCACCAUAUCAAACUACACAAGGCAACAACAACUGCUAUUCUAUAAACACUUUCUUAUCCCAAACCAUGAACAAUCCAAACCCUCACCAUUCAGCCUCUAGCCCAAAUAAUACAAUUUCCAAGCAACUACUAGCAAAUAUAGAACUCAACAACAUCCAAACAAAUCCAAGUGUCCUUGAAUUUGUCAACCAUUUAUUUCUAAAAAAAAAAAACAAACACUUGAACUUUUCCACCUGAAAAAUGAAAUACUAAACUUAUUUGGAACAUUUUAUAGCACACUUGCAUGGACACCAACAUUUGAAGCUGCUUUACAAACAUAUCAACCAUUACAAAUGCUCCAGGAACUUGCACAGCAAGCUAAAGAGAAUGUUCAGAACUAGCAUGAAGAAGUAAGAGUAGAAUAUUAGUAGUUUAGAAAUCCAGUUCAAGUUCUUUUGCUUUUGUACUUCUCAAAAACUUUAAUGUUUAUAUAACUCAUUUUAUUAUCGUUAUUUUAUUUUCUUACUUCUGCAAAACAAUUUUUCCUUGCCUCUACAUAUUUCUAAUCAUCAUAAAUCUCAUUCUCACACAUAACUUUUAUCACAACACACAUUCAUUAGAAAACUCAUAAAAACACUACAAAGAUAGCCAGGAUUCAAAAUACAAUACUUAUAAAUAAAAUACACAAAAGUCAAUUUAUCACAAAACAACAUAAGCUCCUGCUAUUCUUCAAUUUGAAAGAUUUCCAACAAACAGCAUCUUAAAACUCCCUCUCAAAUUGAUGACGAUAAACUAAACAAUCAAAAUUGUCAACUAUAAAUAAUUAUAAUCAACAAAACAAUUUCAGCAAUAACCAAUCUAUUUUAAUGCUUGCUUGAAAAUAUACGCUACCUUUCAGUCACUCUGAUUACCAAAACUAUCGGUAGACGGUGGACUAGGAAAAAAAUACUUUUCUUCCAAUACCUCAAGCCUCAUUUUUCUAGCAACUAGUUGGAGAACCGGAUAAUUUCUUCCAAUUCUCAAAGUAGCUUCUAGAACUGAACUGCAGUCAUCAUGCCUAUAAAACUCCUUGAACAAGUCGCAUAAUUCAUUUUUGAGCAAAACAUUUGCAAUUUGAGGUCGAGCACCAGGUUCAGCAGGUCGAUUACGGCAUCCAUGUUCCAUGGGAUAAGCUACUCCACGCACAGCUGCUAAGUCAAUUAUCUCCUCAUCUAUCUCUGGAUAAUAUGGCUAAACAGUUGGAAACGUAGAAUUUGCACGUGCCAUUUGAAAAAACUUUGCACAAAACAACAGCCAAAUGCAGAUAUCACUCUAUGUCUCACUCUCUAUAUUCCCUUAUUCUUAUCCUCAUACAUAUGCUUACAUACAUCAUAUAAAAUAUCCUACACAAUCCUAACACCUAAAAGAUAAAAUAUAUACAACCUACCCCUCUGAACCACACAAAAAGAAGAGAAAAAAGCAGUCAAACAUGUGACAGUCUUAGGAAUAUGUGAAAGCUGAUAACUAUUAGAGUACAGACUAUAGAUUCAACAUACAAAAAACCCCUUCAAACACAACCAAAUUCCUUACACAGCAAAUAUAUUCACUAAUCAACUACAACUAAACUUCUUCUAUCAGAUAAUAUAUCUACAAACCAAGGAAUAUCAACAAAGCAUAUGCACGCAUGAUUACUUUCAAUUGGACUGAACUCCAAUUUUAUAGCUGUGACUGUGACAGCCCCACCUCCCCCUAAGGCGAACCAAAGGGGUCGGUGGGCCGCCUGCCCAUCUCUCGUUGGGAUUCAAUCGUUCACUACAGUUCUCAAAUAAAUUACAAUAUAAAUCUCAAAUAUACAUCAAAUUCUCCAAUAAUUACAUGUCAUAAGCGAAGCGGAAACAAUUUCCAACCAUACAUAAAAUGAUUCCAAAUCCAAACUGUACAAGAUAUACAUUAUCCAGUCACGUGAAUAAGUACUACAAGCCUUCCUUCGCCACGAGCCCUGUGGAGGGGAAUAAAAUAUUUUUGGGGUGAGCUAAAAGCUCAGUGAGUAACCAGUAAAAUCAGUACUCAAAUAUAUUUCAAGAUAAUGCACUUCGAUGAUGUCACGAGUCAAAGAUCAAAUGUACGUUUAUUGCUCUCGUGAGCCAGUGAAAUCAUGGCACUUAAACACCCAACGCUCAAAUAAAUUACUUAACGUUAAACAAUAAGGGGGAGCAACGUUGGUGCUCCAGAUCAUGUCACGAACUCACGAAAGUGGUGGAGACGUUGGCUCCAGGUAAAUAGUAGAGGAGACGUUGGUGUUCAGCACAAAACUCCCCAAGAACUCAGUUAAGCUAAAUCAUUUCAUGGACUCACAUGCCGGCACACAUGAUAUGCAAACGAGUAAAUAAUGCAAAAAACACUUCGUAAGUAACUUUGAAAACAGUUUAGGAUCACUCACCUCCACGGCUCAGAAACCAUCCAUCAUAUAUCAUUACCUUGCUCGAGUCCAAGCCCUAAAUCACAAACUCAAAGCAAUCAUACAUUCUCAAAAUUCGGACAGCAUUUUCCCAUAAAUGCUUCAUUUCCAACCUACAAUAUAUUACCAAUCACACAUACGGUUAAUAAGCAAUAAAAUAUCCAAUUAGGCCAUAAUAUCCCUCAAUCAAAGCUAAUUUGAAGCUUAAGAGCCACCAUUAGAAAAACCCCCAAUUAAACCCUAGAAACCGGAAUUCAUUCCCUCAAGCGUAAAUUUUCCGCAACGAUCGCAGUUAACGUAUAAAAGUUCCGUUUAACACCUUUCGGAACAAUAUCCAUAACUGAAGCUACCCUUAUCAGAUUGAAACGAAUCUUAUGGCGUUUCGAAACCAAGACAUAUACCUACAUUCCUUAUGAAGACCUCCAAGGCCAAAUCAUGCACUUUCAUGAUCAAAAAUGGAAAUUUUCACGAAAACAGAAAUCUGGGCGCAGAACAGGGUUCAUGGACAGUCAAGGGUAUUUUGGUCAUUACAUAAGCUACAGUACUCGGAUCAAGCUAAAAUUUUGCAGGACAGUAGUUUAUACCAUUGGCUACAACUUUCAUGUUUUGGCCAAAAUCUAAUUCGGUAAGGGUCAGGGUGAAAAGCCACGGUCAGAUUGGAUGAAAUGACAACCCUGCUCGCUGAACUCUUACCUAGGCCAGUCUGGGUAUUUCCGACUUUGCACAAGUUACCGAGCUCAGAUUGGGCUGAAAUUUUACAAGCAACUAUAAAACAUCAUUCUCUACAACUUUCAUGUUUUAACUUAAGGCUAAUUCGGCCUUUAACAAGGUGAAAUAGAAUCAGGAAGAAGCAGGGCAGGUUAUCAUCCAAGCUGAAAUUCAUGCAUUCAAGUGCUAAUCUUCCACAAAACAACAUCUAAAGCAACUAAAAACCACUAAUAAGCAAUUAAUUGAAAUAAAGAGGAUGUUCUUGGCAAAAUACCUUAAAACCACAAGAAAAGUAGUAGCUUGGAACUUGUCCCUUCAAAAUCACUCCAGUCAAUCCUUUAAUCUACCUUAGUAAACAACUUUGAUGGAAGGUUUUGCAAAAAUUCUGGUUAAAAUUCAAGAUUGGGCAAGAAAUUGAAAAACAAAUGAAGUUUCUCUCUUGGUUUGGCUCUCUCUCUCUUUGUUUCUAUGAGUUUUUGCUUUGUAUUUCUUUUGAUUUACUAGCUUAGAAAAUAUUUAAACCAAUAGUCAAAGUAUGCUUUUUGUCCACCAAUCAACCUUGAGCAUAAGAAGAACCUAGAAGCUCUUAGAUUACUAGUACACUUACUUUGCUAAUCUUUACACUAUGGCCCCAACCACUUCUAAUCUUUGCAAUUAACUUCAUGGUUCACCAACUAGUUGAAAAAAAAUAUCGCAUUUACAGCACUAGCUUGUAUCAAGGAAAUGAUUUGAAAACUAUAUUCCCUUAUAAAAAUGUAUAAGAAAUUAAUAUAUUGAAGAAAGGUAUAAAAUUAUAGACAAGGAAACAAAAUAAUGUCUAGAAAAUAUACAAAAAUUUUCGGGUUCUCACAUUCAUCCUUUCGGGGCAUCACAGUCACCACAACUAAAUCACUUCAAGUACAUAAUCUCUAUUGUAUUCUUAUCGCUUUUAACUUCAAUUGCAUCAACAGAUGUAUUCUUAUCGCUUUUAACUACAUCAAACAAGUCUAUCUCCUUUUGCUUUUCCCUCAUCACCUGGAACACAGCAUUCUACAAUCAGGUAUGUAAACUACAACUAAACCACUGAGCUUAUACAUUUACUGCUAAAUCUUACAUUACUAAACACCAACUUGUUUAAUGACAUGCAAUGUUUAAUUACAGUUACUCAUAAACACCAAUUUGUUCAAUGACAUGCAAUGUUUAAUUACAUUUACUCCCUCAAAAUACUCAUUCAAUGCACUAAAUAUUUUGAAAAAUUUACCCUUCUCUUGUCCCUGUUUUACUACUGCAUUUAUUCAUCAUCCGCAUAUAUUUUUGUAUCUUUUACAAUUACAUCUCUUGAUAUCUCUUCAUACUAUUAUUUCUCUUCUUCACUUUCCAAGCAAUACAAGAAAAGAAUGGACCGCAGCUUCUUAACUUUCAGCAACCUUAAGCCAGAAACAAAAAACUAGACUGCAAUCAUCCAAGUGGCUGAAAAACUAAAAAGACAAACUUCUAAAGCAAGGAACCCAUAUCAAAAGAUGAUACUCCUUGACACUGAGGUAUAAAAAUUCAUUCACAUACUAUUCUAUUAAUUACAACUUAAACAAUAUUUUUUCAUAAUUCACAUACUAUUCAUUCACUCCUUGACGUCAAUAUUUUGAAACAGAGAAACAGCUUAAACGCCCUCAUCUAUGGUUCAGACAUCAACUUUUUCAAAAGAUUCUUCAUCCCAGGAAAAAGAUACAUCAUCUCAAAUGCUAGAAUUCAAUAUACUGAUGAGCGAUACUGCACCAAGGAAAACAAAUGCACAUGGAUUAUAGACAAUUCAUCAGUCGUCCAGGUAGUAGAUGAACCAGAGCUACCAGCUUUCCCACAUAUCUUCACAUUUACCCCUUUCAACAAGCUCCAGCGCCAUAUUGAUGACAACACUGAGAUAAGUAAGCAUCUAAACAUUACAACCACUUUUUGCUCAAUCAGUAUUCUUAGUAUUAACGCUCACAGUAAAAUUCUGAAAUAAGACGUGAUAGUAAUCGUCAUCCAUGUCGAACCAAGAAACAACAAAACACGAGUCCCAACUAGAGAAAUUGUGCUGAUUGAUCACAAGUAAGACUUAAUUUUAUACUCAUUCUGUACCAAUAAUAACAACUAUACAAUUAUGCAUACUCUACCUAACAAAACUACAUACAGUUCUAUGCCUGUAGCGCUGACUCUAUGGGGUGAUUACGAAGCAAAAGAAGGCCAAAUAUUGACUGACAAAAUCCACACUCAACCAAUACUUGCAGCCAUCAAAAUAAGUCACUUCUUACCACGGUAAUAUUCUCAAUCCUUACUAUGCUAUGCUCCAUAUACAACAAAAUACUAUACUUACAAUAGUUAUACUAACAAAUCAAAUAAACAGCUAUAAACAUGUCCACCAAGUUUGCAACAACACUUCUCAUCAAUCCACCCCUUGAAGAAUGUGUACAGCUAAACCAAUGGUAACUAAUUACCUUUUUGUGAUUAUUAUUCUUUCUCUUCCAUUACUUACAUACAAAAUCAACAGGGCAGCAAAAAAUCAAGCUAUCAUUGCAAACCUCAAAGCACAAAGAGCCUUUCUCAAUAGAGCUAAGCUGCUUCCAAUUCCUGAUGCUGAAGAUGUAACAACAAUCAAAGACUUUCUGAGGUUUCCGCAACAAAAAAAAUACUGGGUACAAGGAAGAACCACACUGCUAGACAAAAGCCAAAAGCUGUGGUACUAUGCUUGCCCCCAGUGCCACAAAUCCCUCAGAUCGCAACCUAACUGGCCAAUUAUUUGUACCUCUUGCCAGAAGCACAUCAACGUUGUCACAAGGUUCAAUAUCUCCAAUUCCAACACUAAUUACUGAAUACUACAUAAACUAAUAACUCACCCAUUACUUAAUAACAGGUGCAAGCUCACAAUACAGCUUACAGACAACUCAGGGACUCUCACGUUUAACCUUUAUGCACAAGAUGCAGAACAACUACUCCCCUUCAGCAUAACAGAUCUCCAGAAAGAAGAAAAUCAGGUAUACACAAUCCAAUCCUUCCUCUACAAAAAAGUUGUAUGUGUAAUCACAUUUGUCUAUGAUUAUAAAAGUUUCAUUAUUCUGAAAGCCUACUCAACUAAAUAGAAUAGUAUGCUCUACGACAUCAUUGAAGAAUCAAUCAACAAAGCUACCAUUGCUUGUUUCUUGAAGAAAACAACAACAAACUACACCACAUUCAACACUGAUAGAUGCACUACUAUCAUAGCCCACAAGAUUGACCCCAAACACACUGCAGUGCCACCAACCAAUGAAAACCAACCAAUGGUUCCACAUGAAAGCACAAAGGCACAUGAAGAAAUUGCUCAAACUUCUACUAAAUUAAUCAUAGUUGACCUUUCACCUGCAAUUGCUCAAGCUUCUACUGAAGUUCCAGCAAAAUCUACAUCAGACACACUUCACAGCAGUCUCCUUGACUCCCUCAAAAUUGGAGAAAGUCCCACCAAGAAACAACGUGUUACAUUAUCCAAGAAGCAAGACUAAUGCUACAGAAUAUAAUGCCUUGCUCUUCCUUUUCUAUCUUGUGCCAUAUCUUUUGAAUCAGCUACUGCUUUCCUCUUUUGCAUCUGUACAUAACUGCCCUUUCCUACCAAUACUACAGUCCAUCUUUUGUAUGACUAUAUAGCCACUCUUAUCAACUAAUGUAUAUUGCCUAAUGUAUAUUGCUUUUAUGUCCUAACCAAACAUCUUUUCUAUCAACACUUAGCUUCUCUUAUCGACUAAUAUAUAUUGCUUUUGCAUGGCAAAAAGCUUACUAACAGGUCUCAAGCUCCUACGCCUUGCGUGGGAAGCAACCCCUAGUAUUACUUAUAUAAAAUACUAUAAAAUCAAACUACCAUAGACCAUUCGGCGAAUCUCUGAUCCGUGUAAAUUUUUGGAUGAAUCUCAUUCUGACAUCUUGGACGUUUGAGAUGUUUUCCUAACUCACAAAGCCCAAGUAGCACCUCAUGAAUGUUUCUGCAUAUGAUCGGGGGGGAAUGUUGGAACUGAUCAACAAGGCAAUGUAUAUGAUGGUUGUGAUUUAACAUAACUAAAAUCAUGCAUAUUGGCUCUUCUAUGAGAACUCUUUUUCGGGGGUGUUGUGGGACAUAUCCCUCACUUAAUAAAAUUUCACAUAAACAAAGAAUCUACUGUGAUCCUACAAUUCUCAAGUAGUCUUGCUUGAUGGUCAUGAAUCACUUCCUACAUAUAAUCUCUUCCUCAUAGGAUACUAUUUCUGUACAGUAGCGGUAAUAUAUAUCUGACAGCUCGUUCAACUAUAUGGUUGAAUAGUAUAACCAUUGUCCAUUGGAUUAGUUGCCGGUCCUUGUCUUCCUCAUCAUUAUCAUUUAAACUUUUCCAAGUAUUCCAACUACCAUUCAUGCUUUUGCUCUUACAAUAUAUGGAACCUGCAGUAUAAUUUUGUAAAGGAGUUGGUUCGGUUGAAGAAUGCCUACCUUUAAUUCGUAUAGCAAAAAAUUUUAUAGACAAAUGGCAUAGAAAUUAAAACGUUUAUUAUCAAAAUAUUCACUUGUGCUAAAAUAUGGGAAGCCCGUUGCUCUAAAGCCCUCCAAGAUCUAAAUCUUUGCUUAACUGCAACUUUGCCUGGCACCUUCCAGUAGGAAGUAACCACCAAUUUACAAGUAAUUCAUGCCCUAGACAAUUCGCAAGGGGUGCAGCUAUGAAUGGACCCGACGGGCUGGCUUUUAAUCUACUUUUACAUAGUACAUCGCUUGUCCUUUACCUGUGAGUAGACGUAAUUAACCAAAUAAUUGAGGAGCAAAAAGGCUGCCAAACUUAUCUCUAUCAUUUCACUGGUGUCUUUCAUUGUGGAAAGAAUAUUGCAUCUUGGCAAAAAAGGCUGCCAAAUUUGCAUCUUCAGGCACUAGUGUCGGUAGCUUCAACAAUAAGAGAUGGAACAAAGAGCCCGGCCAAUUUUUCUUAAUCAAGCAGCAAUGAUAUCUACUACUGUGAACAAAUUAGGGAAGCAAAAAGCUGCCAAGUUCAUUUCCUCAAGCAGUGAGCCAUGUGCAUUUCCUUGAAUUGAGGCACCAACUAUUUAUGUAGACCCACAUCCCUAUUGUCAUUGGCAGUGAAUUGCUUUUUACCUUCUUUUACGUUGUGGCGUGUCAAAUUGAUUUACAUGCAAUCCAAGUGGUAAGUACUGUGACAUAAAUUGUGAUUGGUUCUUUUAUUAGUCUUCACUAAGUGUCCAUUGCCUUGUCAGGAAUCUCAUGGAAUUGUUUAUCUUAAGCCAAAUGCCCCAAAGUUGAAAAAGUUUCAAUUGCACUACGCAAGUGGACACAUAUAUGCACAUACAUGUAUUUUCGAACUGUAUAGAUAUGUGCCUAUGUACUUAGUCCAUUGCCUUGUCAGGAAUCUCAUGGAAUUGUUUAUCUUAAGCCAAAUGCCCCAAAGUUGAAAAAGUUUCAAUUGCACUACGCAAGUGGACACAUAUAUGCACAUACAUGUAUUUUCGAACUGUAUAGAUAUGUGCCUAUGUAUAUAUAUAAACCUAUGUGUGCGCGCACACACACAAACACAUAUAUGUAUGUAUAUUUAUUUAAAUAUAUGUAUAUGUACAUAUAAAUGUGUCUAUACACACAUAAAUAUAUAAAUGUUAUAUAUAUACUUAUAUAUAUAUAUGUGUGUGUAUACUUGUUGGGAUAAAUACACACACACAUAUACACAUAUGUGUGUAUAUAUAUAUGUUGUAUAUAUAUAUGUGUGUGUAUACUUGUUGGGAUAAAUACACACACACAUAUACACAUAUGUGUGUAUAUGUAUACACACAUAUAUGUGUAUCCUGCUGCUAUCAUAACCGGCAAGUGAUAUGUAUAAAGAAAAGUGUCUCUAACCUGAAGUAGUAGUACAAAAAUGGAAUUUUUAAAAUGGCAACAUAUUCAAUUCCUAAUAGCUUGCAGUUUGUAAACAGAAGUGAAUCGAAGUGCCAACACUUAUAGUACAAGUACACAUCAAAAAUCGUAAUUAGAAAGAGUAGCCGAAGGCCUAGGAAUGCUUAGUAGUAUGCCUAAUAAUCUAAAAUUGCUCACCAACGACACGCUUCCAGACAAUCCCAAUCGAGAAUGGGUCAUGUUAUACAUGACUUUGACUUCUCGAUUCUACCUAGGCUUGUGGGGGUUUGGAGUUUAGAAUGGUAUGAGUGUAGUAGAAUUGGAAGCUUUUAGUUGAUUAGAGGAACAUGUGGCACCACCUCUCAUUCUUUUUGAACUCCUUCAUAGAUGCUAGCCGUUACAUGUUCCGAAGUUCUACAGGCUCAUGUUUUGAGUAGCUUUUGUCCCAAACCUUUAAUGCAACUACAUACCAAUGAUUACAUCUCAGGUUUUUUUCAAUCUUGAUCUGUGAGAGAUUUCUAAUAUUGGUGCCUGCAUCUUGUAGAGCUUUCUUGGUCUUCUAAGACUUAGUGCCCCUAGACCCAUCAUGUGAUAAAGUUCUCAGAAUUGAUGCUGGUCAUUUACCAAGUUUGCUUGAAACAAACUUGACUUCAUCGUUCUAAACAGGAAUGUACACAUUUUCAUCCCAAAAGUCUGAGGUAGGCCCAUCUACCUUUGCCUUGCCCUUGAGCCUCAAUCCAGCAUCGAUGGUCUUUUCGGUAGACUAGGAAGAGUGGUGGACCUCACUCUGGGUGGAAAAUUGGCCAUGCUUUCUUUGGCUGAUCGGCUCUCAAGAAUUUCAAUCAAUUCAAAGAAGCAACUGCAACUGCGGUCUUGUUUUCCUACAAGCUGUGUGUCGAACCCAUAACAAGGGACAAUUCAAGUAGAAGCAACCUAAUGUACUUCGGAUUAUAAACUUGCACUCACAAAAGUAGGAGCAACCUAAUGUAUAUUGAAUAAAUAAAGAGGACAACAUAUGCAGAUCUGUAUGUGUGUCUUAUUUAGUUCAACAACAACACAAGUAUUAUAUUCUUAUCCCCUAAGCAAAAGAAUCUACAAGUUACUCUUGCUAUUAAGGCUUUUAGUAGACAUGAUUAGACAGCUUUAAUUGCUAUUACACAUUAACUAAGCAUGGCAGUUGUAACUAAGGCAAAUAAAGCAAUUAAUCAUAAAGCCAAGUAGCAAUUCAAGUUGUCAUAAUUCUAGUUUUCCUUAUAAGAAGAUUGACAGCAAUUCAGCAAGCUAUGACUUGACUAUGAAUAAGCUUUAUAAACAGACAACCCCACAAGUAUUCCAAAAAUUUGAAGAAGCAACAGACAAAAGGCUAAACUUUUAUAAGAAAGGGCAUAUGUACCUACUAAAAUUUCAGUAUAGUAGUCAAUUGAUUGUAGGUAAAUGUAGAAGAUUAAGAAGUUUACCCGCUUCAGAGCACUCCAUUUUUCCUUUGUAGCCUAGAAGCACAAAAAGUCGGUAUUAAACGAUUGGCAUUAAAUCCAACUCUCAUCUCUGCGGUUGAUCAGGAUAUCCCAUUUAGGCAUACAAAAACUUUCGCUCAGUUUCUAACCUGUAGUACUUUGAUCGGUACUGCUCCCACUUCAAAUUAACUCAACACUUGUCAUUCAUAUGUAGGGACAGGUGAUACUAGUUGGACCUACCCUUUUGUAGCUUGUUCCAAGCACCAUUCCCGUGCCACUCUACCAAUGUUGCAAUGAAGGAAUGAAGGUUGCCUCUAAAGUAUGGUGGUUUUUCCAAUCAACUACUUUGAAAUCAUCAUUCAUCUAAUGCAACAAAUGUACAUUAGUGACAAAUCACAGGCAGAUAUUAAAAGGAAAAGUGCUAGCGUAACUGGGUUCUGAUAUUUAAAAGGAGGACCUCGUGUACACCUUGAGGAAGUAGUUUCUUGCACAAGCACCCAAAUCAUUUGAACCGGUCUUGGAAUGUGCUUACUGGACUGUACACAAAUAAAUUAUAAAGUAGACGACACAAAUUGUUGAGUAAAAAGAGUUGUGAACCAUUCCUAUACAUCAUAAUACAACAAUUGUCAUUUCAGAAGUAGUUACACUAUUAGGGAGUCCACAACUAAUGCUUCUAAAAAAGAAAACUUUAAUGCAAGUGAAAGCAAUAUAUAACAGCAACAAAAAAGUUGGUAUAGGCAAUUAAACCAAAAUUUGACAUGCACAAGGGUCUUACCACUUCUCUUACGGACUCAACGGCGCUUAUAGGGCAUAUAAACAUGAGGAAAAAGAAGAUUGGUGGAACCUUAGAUUUUCAAAGUGAGUGGCUCCACAAAUGAAAGCACUUAUAAUUGUAAUGGGACAUUAAGAUGGUAAGUGCUAAAAUCGAUAGACAAAACUGUCUCCCCUAUCUUUAAUUCAAUGAAGACACCAAGGGAACAUGAGGGACUGCAUGUGGAAGUGUAUUACCAUGGAAAGUGAGCACAGAAAUUGCAAUAUAAAUAUUUAUAACAUAUUACACAAUUAGGCGACAACAAGUGUAAGUUGAAACCAUAUUAUAGUGUUAGACAGCAAACUUUUCGCUGUACUGCCAAAUUUCCUUACUCGCCAAAGCUUGUAGUUCAUUGCAAUUGCUUUUAUGGUGGGCUCGCUUCUAGAAUUUGAGGUAUUAAGAAGGAACUACUAAACAACGUAAUUAGUGACACAAAAGUUAGUGUAGACAUGAUAUCAAAUAGCCAGCAUCAAUGCACAGCCUUGUUCAUGGAACUCUUUCUUAAUUUUGUACCUAAAUAUGAACCAACAUGGAAGCUUAUUUCCUUAUAAUCAAGUCACAAAACUUAUAUCCAUCCUAUAAUUCAAGUUACAGAUAAAAAAUUCCAACAAUAACCUUAUCCUUGUUGUUACCAUGGCUGUCAUGCUAAUUAAUAAGCCCAAACCGAAAUGUAAACUACCAGAAUCGAAGAGUUUCAAUGGCAAUUACCCCAAAGGAAAAAUGAGGUAACUAGAAUCACAAGGUGAAGCAAAUUGGAUUAGUAUAAGAGCUAAUUCAAUAGCAAACACAUUGCCAAAAAGGCACGAUUGGCUCCUUGCAUUCGUUUUCAGGAAAAUUUUAAAAAUAAUUAUCAACGCUAAUUUUGAAGAAGAAGUAUACAGCCACUAUAUAUUUCAUAUGGUAACAGCACGAAUUUGAAGAUUGGUCUGGACCCCAAUUCUUGAAUGAAAAAUGUGAAGCUUGCAAAGACAGAAGGAAACGUACCUAAUGAAAAAAUGUACGAUACGGAGCAAGCCAUCGAUGGAGAUGGCUAGGGAGAAAAAGAAAGGCGCAGAACUUCUCCAAGUGAAUCUUAAUCGCACACUUGCAAUGGCCAGUCUUCGAUAUGUGUGAUUCUUAGACAAGUAUGCUGAAAAUUUUGGUGGUGAUAUAGUAGUCCAAUGACUAUAUAUGUCGUCUGAGUUGAUGCUGGUUGUAGGAGGUUGGAGGUGAUAAAGAGGGGGAGUAAAGUGGAAGAAAGUAAAAGACUAAAGGACAAGUUUUUGGUGCUUUGUGAAGAAUCUCUCUAAUGGUCAGAUUACACUCUAUCGUCUUUUAACUGUUUUGGAUAAAAUGUAGUGGGUGAAUUAUUUCGAUCAACAAUAGUCAAUUUUUCCAACAUCUUUACUAUUCUGAAAUUACAAUACAGGAUACUACUAAUCCAAACAUAACCCUCAUUAUCUGUUAUUUUAGGAGCCUUCCUUUCCUAUCGUCCCACUUUCACCUCCUUAUUUUUUUAGUUUCGUCUUCAUUAAUAACUUAUGCCAACUUUAUAUGUGCUAUUUUAUAUUAUUGUUUAAGAGCCUUGAUAAUUUUUUUAUUUUUAUUUAAUUUUCAGUUUUGUUGUUGUUGCCAAUAAUAACUAUGCCCAUUUAAUUUUCACACUAAUUACUAAACAGAUAUUCAGUCUAGCAUUAUCAGUUCUAUCCAUGUUCGAGGUUUUUAAUCAGUAGCAAACUACCUCAUUCGAGAAUUUAAGAUAUCAUCACUUCAACUACGUCCAUUUUAGCAAGCGUUAAUCUAUUUCUUUUUCAUUUUCUUUUUUCACAUCAUUUUAUUUUCUUGGCACAAGAUGCAAGUCUAACUCUAUAUAUUAUAAAUUCCAAUAGGUCCUACAACAAAUUAUUUGGCCGAUAACAUGUCCCUAUCCUCACCCCGGUAGUUUGGCAAUAUUUUAAAAUUCGAACCGUUAAUUGAACCGAUGAAAAGAUUGGGUCGAGGCUGAACCAGUCUGAUUCAAUAAGUUUGUGUGUGUGUAGACAUAUACACAUACACCUGUGCAUAGAAUAAGAUAUAAAUGCUAAAACCAUAACUAACGUAAGAGCAAUAUUAUAGUUAUCCAACUUACUUGUCCAGUUGUGUGAGGACCCGAAAAUUUUCUUAUUUAUCGAAUAUUACAAGUUUACUUACAUAUUUAUUUACUCAUUUUCUCCGAAUAAUUUAUUUCGACUAUUUAAAAAUCCAUUUAUAUUGAACAACGCCCCUUUUAUAUUUUAAAGCGUUUUGUUGGAAAAUUCACUUUUCAAACAUUCGUUUAGUUCGAAAUAACGAGUACACAUUUUUCGAGGCUAUACUUAAAUCGGGAGUGUAUUAAUAUUGGAGAGUUAAGAAUGAUCAAUGACAGAUUAAGAAAGGUUAAUUGAGAAAUUAAUACUCGACUCAUGUGAGGACUCACAAAAUUUAUCUAUUUUAACUUCAAAUUCUAGCUCAUUUAAUUAUUUAUUUCGCCAUUUACUCCGAAUAUUAUUUUCUAGUCUCUUGAGACCUAAUUACAUUGAUUUAUGACUUACUUAUAUUUUUAGAGUGGCUCGUUUCAAAAAUUAAUUCUUCGAGACCCGUUAAGUGAAAAUAGUGAACGCACGUUUGGGAACGAUAACCGAUUUAAGAGAACAAUGAGGAUUGGAAAAAUGGAGACAUCUACAUAAUCCCUAAAAUAGGUAUUUUUAUGUUUAAGUGCUCAAAUAUUAAUUAAUAAUAUUCUUGUUAUAAGAAUUUCUUAGAGAUUUCGCGUUAUCGCGCUUAAAUUAGAAAUACGCGUUUUCACACGUGCGAUUUAAUUGAGGGACUUUAGACCCUUAGUUGGGGGCAAGUAAGAGUGAAUAAUAUUUAUAUGAAUAUAAGUGCAUUAGAGGUUUAGUGCUCUAGUGCAACAAACUUAAGAGGAAUCGAGCACAAAACGCGCGCACGCGCACUAUUUGCGGUUGACUUUGUGCACCCAAUACUUAACCAUUAAGCUACCUUCAAGAAGCAAGCUCCAUCAGAUUUUUCUCUCUCUCUCCACACUUUCAACAGCCGAACCAACAAAGGAGAAAAACAACUCCAAUUCCAUCCUAAUUCCUUCACCAAAUCUUCUCCAUUUCACUUCAAAUUUCAACCAUUCUUAGCUAAUCACUUGGAGAUUACAUCAAGUUAAGAAAGAGGGCUUCUUUCCACAGUUUUCUUGGGCAUUUAUUGGACCGAAAAUUCUGUUCUAGUUCAUCAAGAGAGGUAAUGGACGAUCAACCCUUUAAAUCUUACUUUAUGGAAGUAGUAUUGCACAUCCAAGCUUAUGCAUGCUUAUGGGUAGCUUGUUAUAUUGAAAAAAUUGUUGUGUGGGCUCUAUGAACUCCCACUUUGGUUGGAUGAACUGAUUGGAUGAAUGAUGAUGCUAAUAAUGUUGGUUUAGUGCCUAAACUAGUGGAUUAAUGUUGGGUUAUUGAUAGAAACUCAAGGAGGGUGCAAUAACCAAAAGUGACCAUUUUGCCCCUGCUUUGUUCGAGCACUUUGGUGCAAAAUUUUGAGGUUCUAAUGGCUUUUUUAUAUUGUUUACAUGUUAUAUUGAGUGUAAAAAGUUUCAUUGAAAAAUAACUUGAUGUCACCCAAAUGUUGAAAUUUCUAAAGGUUAGAAAACUGGAAUUUUGUUCCCGGAUUGCCCAGGCAGUCUUCUUGUUUCGGCCAUACCUUCUUGCUUUGAUGUCGAAAUUGAGUGCCAUUUCAGGUAUUGGAAACUAGACAUUCCCAGAUUUUCAUUGGUAUAAAAUACAUGUCCUGGUUCCACUUGACCUAGCCAAACCAUUCGUUUGAAAUCCACUGUCCUGUUUCGCCGCUUCCUGGAAGGCAGCACAUGAGUUGCAACUUGAUGCUCACGAAUUAGUUGGUUAUGGACAGAUUUUGAAAAUGGUUUUUUUCUGAAAAAAUAUAUCCUUAUGAGUUUGUUUUCUAACGUCACCAACCACGUUCAAUUCCGAGUUGAAUUGAGUGAUUUAUGAUCGAAAUUCAAAACUGACUUUGUGAACGAAAAUAGUGUUUUGGACAAUUUUGAAACUAACAAUGACUUGGGACUUGUUAUCCGGAAUUUUGGUGAUUAGUUACCUAAAAAAUGUGUAUUGGAUACCUCUUAGACAUUGUCUAUGCACAUGGACCGUGCUUGAGCUACUUUGUUGGCCAAACCUUUUGAAAACAGAAAACGGAACAUACAAGGCAGAUUUGCCUUGAAGUUCUUGGAGUUUUCGUGAUUUCGAUAACCAACUUCCUGAAUGAAUUUUCUUGUGAAAUUUAGUAGAAGAAUAUCCCUUAUACGGUAGGAUAAACCUGCCAAAUUUGGUGCCAUUUCAAGUUCGUUUCGAUGUUCAACCGAUGUCCCAAAAACAGUGAUUUAAAUCUGGAAAAUGGUAAACAGGUUCUAAAUUUUAGCAACUUUAAGCUACCAUAUUUCGGUGCUUAAAACUCCAAUUCUCGUUCCACUUGCUUUGUUUUAAACCUUGUUUGCAACUCUAAUUGAGUUCCAAAUUCCAAAGGCUGGUUUACAAUGGCUGAAUUUUGCCGAAUUUCCAAAGUUGGCCAAAAACCAACCCCGAAAGCUGUCUUCAUGUUUAAAAUAGCAACUUUGAGCCAAUUUUUGAAUACUUUCCGUCUGGAAUCAUGCAAGAGUGUAUUCUAUGAACUUUUUGUAUGUUGGAAGAAGUUUCCAACGGUACCAAGUUUUCUAAUUUUUGACUUGUAAAGCGUGAGGUACGAUUUUUCUAAUGUAUCAUAUCAAAACUGAAAUUUUCCGAAUUUCAAGGAAAUGAAGUUUUUCAAGUACUCCUUAUUCCUUCGAUACUACUUGAACGUUUUAUAUUCGAUUUCCAAGAUGAAAACUAUAUUUCUCUUGUAUUUUGGAACCCCACUUGAGAGCUUCGAUUUAGGAUAAAUAAGACUCGUUUCACGAGACUUUCUAAGAUUGUACUAUGGUACGAUCUUCUUUAAUAGUAGGGGUUUAUAAAUGAUUGUUCAUUACUAUUUAUUCAGGCACACAAGAGGAUCUUCAAGAGGAUCCCACAGUGAACGCCUAAAGCUCCGAGGGACAUUUCUUCCUUAUUACUUAUAUUGGUGAGUGUCAAGUGUAUGAAUACUUUAUACAAAUUUAAUUGUUAUGAUUGUUUGGAGAUUUUUAAAAUGGAGGCGAGUGUGUACUUUACCGCACUCGUUCUUAUUUGAAAUGAAUGACUCAUGAUUCAAAUGAAACGAAUGAAUUAUGAAUGACUUAAUUGAAUGAAAUGAGAUGAUUGAAUGUUGAAUGAAAUGAAAUGGUAUGCUAUGGCUGUGUGACGGCACCACCUCCCCCUAGGCGUACCCUAGGGUUUAGCGGACCGCUUGCCCAACUCUCGCCAGGACUCACUCACUCGCAUCCAUUAAAAUAAGGUGCAACAUCAAUAAUAAACGAAAUAACGGUUCCCAAGUUUGGAACAUACAAAUACAUUCAUUUUUAUCUCAACCAUCCAUAUAGUCCCAAAUACAUCAAAAGAUUUAAGGUCUCAGUACAUUCAACCCUAAUCGAGCGACUAGUGCGAGUACAAUUACAGAAUUCAAAACAACUAGACUACGCUAGUCUAUACACGUCUCACGCCUCGCUCGUACCCCUGUAAGGAAAACAAAUGGCGUGGAAUGAGCUAAAAGCCCAGUGAGGUUUCAAAUAGCAAAUUGACCAUUAUUUAUAAGUACAAGUUUUCGAUAUAGCAAAGUAACGAGCAUGAAGAAUUCAUAAAAGUGAGCAAUAACACGUCAAGUAGCAAUCUCAAAAUAAGCGAGUGUAAAAAUUUUUCAGAAGAAACAAUAAUCCAAUAAGCAAUAGUCGUUCCAAAGUAUAAGGAUACGGAGGGCUCUCAGGAGCCAAAUUCCCAUUGCAACACCAGGAGCUUGAUCACGUAAUAGUUGACACUCCGUCAACUUUCAAGUAAGUAACCAAUCCAGUAGAACACCACUUACACUACUCUCCGUCUACCAUUCAAACCCCCUACUGGACCCAAAAUCCUCAACAAACACGGGUGAUAAUACUCGAGUAUACCGAUUAGUCGAGGAGAUAUCACUCCACUCGACAAUCAAGAGACCCAGGGUUUGUUACCCAAUCGACCAAGCCCUUGCCGGCUCGACUCGAGUAACUUGCCUCAGGGUUUCUGGAAUUCCAGGAAGUGCGCACAUCAUAAACAAGUAUAUCAAAUCAGUUUCAAUAAUAAACAAGUAUAUAUCAAGUAAGGGCAAGUGCGAUAAAGUACACUCUUGUCCGAUCAAACCAAUCAUACAUCAUUUAAUCAUAUGGAUCAAAUAUUGGAAAUAAGUGUCCAGUUCAAUCAGGUAUUUGGAAGCACUCACAAAAAUGAAGUGCCCCUAGUAAUCACGUCUGGGUUAUACUCCGGGUUCGGAGUCCAAAUCUACGAUAAAACUUUGUUUCAGAAUUUUAAAAAUCGACUAAGGUUCUAAACGUAGACGUUUCGUUCAAUAAGAAUCAAGAAAUGGAAAUUUACUUGAAUCGUAUUCGUGAAACACUCGCUCGCUUUUCAAACUAUAUAACUUUGUAACAUUUAUAUUUGGAAAUGCCAUUUGAGUCGAAAGUACAAGGAAAACAUACUCCUAGUAGUCAUGAUUUUAUUUCUCAAGGGUACAAGUUCGGUCAAAUCCUCACUGAUAUACCUCGAUAAAAGAAGACGCCAAUAUCCUAGAUAGUUCAAGUGGUAAUCGCCCUUAACCCUUACUCAAGUUGCAAGUAUGUCUACCUAUCCCUUGAGCGUAAAUUUGGGCAGCACGCACUUUGUAUUUUGCUAUUUUCCAGCCAUUUAUGGUUUCAUUCUUUUCCUCAAUCAAACCCAAAGUUACACACAAAACAAACUCAUUUCAAUAGCCGUUCAAUGGGCUCAAGGUAAUACAAGUACAAAAAUCAAGUUAACGACAUGUGCGGAAAUGAAGUCUAGCAAAAGACAGAUUUGGCGUGAUUUUACGUAAAGUACACAACCGAGGCUACGCUUAUCGGAUUGAGGUGAAACUUAUACCGUUUCGAAGCUAAGACAUAGGGCUACAAUUUUGAUGAAAAUCACUUAGUCCAAUUUCCAGUGUAACCCAGUCAAAUUCCCAAUUCAUAGAACCAAACUUCUACUAAUAGACCAGUUAACCGUACUACCUUCAAAUAGCCAUAUCUCAAGUUACCAAAGUCCGUUUAAGACGUUCUUAAAGGCGUUGAAAAGCUAAGAAAAAGUACUAAAACUUUCAUGUUUUGGUAAAUGGCUAAAUCUGCACGGAUCAUAAUUAAUAGACAUGGUUAAUUGGAUGAACUGUCUAAAACGGAUCACUGGAUGCAUCCUAGGGCAGUGAGGGUAUUUUGGUGUUUUCAUAGGCUACGUUACUCCGAUUGAGCUGAAAUUUUGUAAGCAACCAUAAAAUAUCAUUCUAUACAACUUUCAUGUUUUGUACUAAGGCUGGUUCGGUCUCUAACAUAUUCAAACAGAAACAGGCAGAACUGAACCAUAAGAAACCGAAAUUCUGGUAAUUUGCUCCAUUCAAGGUAUAACUCUCAUUUUAAGCUUGAAACCAGCACUACAACCUCAUAUACAAGCUUAUAUACCUCAUAUACCAUCCAUACAGCAAGUAUAAGAAGAAAAUCAUUCAAACCCAAAGCUGAAAUUUUACACUACAUAGCUGGAAUUGACCAAAUCUACUACUAACCAUGAGAUCUACCCAACAAACCAUAACUUUCACUUGUAAACCAUUAAGUAGUACAACCAUGAACUAAUACCUUCCUUACCUAGUAUUGGAGAAGCACAACAGCCUCUAGUAAGCUUGAACCACCAAAACUCUCCACUCCAAGAUGGCAAUCCACCUUCCUAAGCAACUUCCAUGGAUUAUUUGGUGAAUCUAUCGGUUAGUUUGCAAGAUUGAGCAAGAAAUCAAGAUGGAAUGAAGUGUUUCUUUCUCUCAUUUUCUCUCCUCACUCUCGCGGCCAAAUGUGCAGAAGAAAUGCAGCCCAAGGAAAGAUAAGAAAGCAAGAAAAAGGCUUGGUCAAAGUUUAACACAUGUCACCAUUUGAUUGGUGGUCAACAUUUUCUUUUCUCUCUCUUGUUUUUUUGUCCAACUUUUCGGUUGCUUUAUCAGAUAUUUUGGGGCUGAUUUGACUCAAUUAAUAGCAAGGGUAUUAAGGUAUUAAAGUGGUGUUCACGUGGUGCACUCACUCGAUAACAAACGGUGCACGUCGGUUCCACCCGUUUUUCCUUAACUCGCACGUACUAGGAUUUUUACUUAUAACUCACUAACUUAUUAUUCUCACUUCUAAUCUCAUAUUAUUUCUUAUCUAAAAGUCACUCUUACCUACCAAAUUUGAUCCUUACUCUGUACCGAAUAAUCACACUACGAAAAAACGUGAAAACCCUAAUUCGCUCUAACUUGAAAACGAAAAGUGAAACCCUACUUUUUAGAUUCAUUUGUACUUAUUGCGGAGUAAUUGAGUAGUAGGACUAUUAUAAAUUAAUAAUUUCCAAAUAAAAGGGGAUUUUUAAGAAAAACGUGAGGGGUUUUACAAUUCCAUAAAUUGAAUUUAGAGUUUCGGUUAAAAUAUAAGAAAUUUGAGAAAACGGUUAGUCACAAGUGAAACUAGGGUUUUGAUUAGACUUUUAGGGUUUCUAGUCUUGUAAAAUAAAAUGAGGUUUUAAAUGAACCCCAAAGAAAUAGCUUUAGUUUAUUCUUUAAAACAAAAUAAUGGUUUAAAAUAAAAAUAAACUAAAGAAACCGUAAUAUCCUCUUUGAGACUAAACAAAAGAUGAUCCUAAAAGUUGGGGUAUCACAGGCUGCAUACGUCGUUGGAGUGAAUCUCUUCGACUCUCAAAUGAAAAUGGGGGACGCCCAAACUCAUAGGCCGACCUUAGAGUCGAGUCGGCAUGGGCUUGGUCGGGAACCUAGGCGAGCCAUGAGAUAAUUAAGCUCGACCUAAUGAGAGGUCUUGCUUGGUAUACUCGUGGAGUAUCGCCUUAUAAAUGUCUUGCGGGCCCGAGAAGUGCACGGUGGACGGAGGGAAGUAAGUGGUGAUCUACGGAAUGGAAAUACCGACCCGGUUGACGGAGUGUCAUCGCGGGAAGGGGUACGAAUGAUAUUGGCAAAACAAGUGGAAAUUAGCUCCUGAGAGCUACCAUAUCCUUGAAUUGUUUCUGUUUACAUUUCAAUGAAAUUGUCAAUUACUUGUACUUUAUCCUUUGACCUGUUAUUUGGGUUUGUACUUGGAUUAUGUGCUUGCAUGUGUGUUCUUGGCCUCACAAGUGUUUUGCUCACCCUGUGGAUUUGUUUUCAUUAACAGGAUUUGGGACUGGAAUGAGAUUCGGAGGAAUUUCUCUUUUGUGUACUCUUGUAAUAGGCUUCCAACACUUUUGUCUAGACUUUUGGCUAUUGUAUAUUUUGGGCUAGAACUCUUAUUGAUUGUACUUUUGGAAACCUGAUGUAUGAUUUGGAUAUUUGAUGUACCUGGAUGUUGUAUAUUUUGGAUAUUGAUAUAACUUUUGGGAUUUUGAUAUAAGGAUUAGAUAAUCGUUAUAUAUAUAUAUUGUUAUGUUCGGAAGUUUUUCCGCACUUUCUUACUUAUCUGGUGUUGUUGAAUAGUAUUGAUCUAAAAUUGAAUGGAUAUUGCUAUGAGUCCUGGCGAGAGUUGGGCAGGCAUCUUGCGGAUACCCUCUGGUUUGCCUUAUGGAGAAGUGGGGGCAUCACAGUUGGUAUCAGAGCUUAGGUUUUUAGAUCUUUGUAGUGUAUCCUAAACUUAAUAGUUUAGGAUGCCGGACUGUGGAACUUGUUGAAAAGUUAAGUGACCACUAGUGGUAAUGAAAAUUAUAACCUAGGUUUGAAUUAAUGGACGAUUGGGGUUCUCGAUCUUGUAAGGGACAUAUGGGAUAGUAUGAGAUGAUCAAAUCCAGUAUAUUUAGUAUAUUUGGUUCCAUUUAAUUUUUUAAUUUUAAUUGUAAGUUACGGAAGGUAAUGGUGGCAUUGAACCGUCUUGGGGACGCAUUAUGGUGACCAUGGCCGUGAAGGUCCUAGGGGAGGGUUCGUUGGAGGUAUAAUCCAACUCAUGCGAACUAGGACUUUAUGUGAUUUCCGAAGGACUUACUCGUGCCCCAAUAAUGGAGUAUUUAUAGUAGUCGAUCAUCGGAAGUGGCUAUCCGAGGAAAAUAGGAUGAUUCGAGGGGAUAAUCGAGAACUAAGGGCAAUUGCGGAUGCCUAAACUACUAGAAUUCUUGAAGUGGAGAUUGAAAUACUUAAGAAGCAAGGAAGACAAAGACUCCUUGUAAGAAGCAUUAAAAGAGCUAAGAAUCGACUUGUUGGGGUAGUGUCCGAAAUUAAAGACAGGAUGGAUAAGUCGAUAGUUGGGUGUGUUACUUAGGUUGAACAAGUGGAGAAUGACAAGAUAUUCGAUAAGAGACAUGAGAUCUAAAACUCCUAGUGCUGGAAAUGAAAAUGAUCCUACGGAGGUAAUUAAGACUGUUGGCUCCGCUAAUCACUGAACUAGGGAUUUAAACUAUUUUAAUAGUUUUUGCAAAAGAUAGACGGGGUGGCGCUCGUUUAAAGGCCAUUGCAUUUUGUAUCUUGUUUCACUAUGUUUCCUACCUUUUGAAGCAAUUAAACGUUACUCAUGGCAUACUUGACUUUACUGUUUCAUGAUUUCAAAUCCAUGAUUGGGUUGUACCCAUUUGCGAUUAUUUUAGUGUCUUCCCUUUCAUUCUUGUAUUUGUUUGGUGUGAUAAAGGUAUCACUUUUCAAAUUCCAUUUAUGUGCACUCAUUUUAUGUCAUGCCUUUAAACAUGUUAAAUUUAUGGGUGACCAAAAGAGUGAAAAGGAUCGAGGGCGAGGGGUUAAGCAACCCCAAGCUCAAGGGGACGAUUAUAGAAUGACUGCUGGACUGAAUCAAAACCUUAGAAAUAAAUGAAAACAAUCGCGUAGUUAUUGCUAUUAACCAGACGAUUGAUGCCCUAACACGAUUAGUGGAGCACUAAAGCUCUAAACCAAUCAACCAAUCUAAGAACCAAGAAAGGUGUGAGAAAUUGAGCAAUUCUUGAAGUUCGUCCGUCUAAGCACAUGGAAAAUCUAACCUCGAAAUAGUGAGAUUGAUUUGAGAGGAUACAAUAAGGCACUAGUGAGAACAAGAGAUUAGUAUUUCUUCUCGAAUGAUCUUAUAGAUAAGUAUUGAAGAGUGAACUAGGACAUGGAAUCUUUAUAUUAACGAAUAAGGUCCCCUUACCUUGUUGAGUUUGUAAUUACUGAUAGUAAUCUCAUGGAGACAUAAGAGCUCGCCAUGUUAAGCGGAGAAUGAUUAAGGUUUGUAUUCCGAGAUAACCUAUAAGCAAAAGAAUGAAAGAGUAUUAUGGCUUGAGCUUCCAUUGUGAAUAGUUACUUAUUUGAUCCUUUGAUUUAUCUAGCAGGCUAGCAUUUGAUUUGAACCAACCAGUAAGAUGACAAAUUUGGAAGAAAUGCGUAAGGAUGUGGACCUCUUUCAAAAGGAGGUAGAGUUUCAAAAGAAAUUGGCUGACUACUGGGAAGGGCGGUGGAAACAAGCAUAUGUUGAGAAAAUUGAAUUGCUAUAUAAGAACGUAGAACUGGAAAUAAAAUACAAAGAAACUUCUCAAACUGGUCAGGCCACGACUUCUCGUGCGACUUGUGGAUACUGUGGUAAAUCCAACCACAUGAAGAAUGAAUGUUGGAAGAAAUCGGGAAAAUGCUUGUAUUGUGGUAGCACCGAACAUCAGAUUUCAAGUUGCCCCAGUGCCCCUAACAAAAGGAAGAAAUACUCAGCAGCCAAUUAGGUUCGCUCAAAGCAAUUGAAUACUAGAUGAGAGUAAUUAAUACUAAUGGCUGUAAAGAGGACCCAAGUAGUGGAGGUUUCACAAGUUGAGAUGGUUUGACUUCAUUCGAGGGAUAAAGUUUGUAACUUUACCCUAGACUAGACUAGCACUUUUGGAGAUUUAAUCUUUCGUAUAAGGAAAAGUCUUUUAUUAUUUUGUAUCUUAGUAACUCGGCAUGUUUUGCUAUAAUCUUGUUGUUUCCCCUUUGAAAUGGUUUGAUAAACCUAUCCUACCUUGAUGUACCUAUUAUGAUCCUUAUGACAUAUGAAACUUUACUCCGCUUUUGAUUGAUUUUAUGACUUACAUGUAUAUUCAAAUCUUGCCCCACACCUUUAGAUUCAUAAUAAGACACGAACGGUGCUAGACGUAGUUGAGAUUGUGCUUAAGAAUAUAGGCCAUCGUGAAGUCUUGAAAGCGACCAGGGAUCGUGAUCAAAUCGAGAGCUUGGUGUUGAAGUUGGGAUCUAAUGUUUGAUUGUCAAUUUGAUAUAUUAAUACUGUGAGACUUGGGUUAGUGAAAGAGAAUCUUUGGUAGAUUUGAUGAGCAUAAUGGUUGAGGGAUCGGAUAUCACAUUUGGAAUGGAAGCUUGAGACUAUAUAUAUAUAUAUAUAGAUUAUUGAGAUUUGAACGAUACUAUUAAGAACAAAUAUUCCAUUGUCUCACAUAGCCGGGGACUUUGACCUCUGGCAAGGAGCCGUGAUAUUAUUCAAGUUGAAUUUAAAUUAGAGCUAUUACCAGUUGAGGAUCCUAGAAACUGAUGUGUUUAAAAUCACUUCCAAUUCAAGAUAGGGACACUUUGAACUUUCAAUUACGCCGUUGGGUUGACCAAUGCACUAGUAGCAAUUAUGACCUGAAUGCAUCGGGGUUUUAAAUCGUAAUUGGAUUAAUCUGCGGUGGUAUUUAUUGAUGAUAUAUCGGUAUGCUCUAACGUUUGAAGAAAUCAUGAAAGAUACUUGAUGAUGUUUUACAAACCUCAAGAAUGCAUAAACUUUCGUUAAGUUCGAUAAAUGUGAGUUCGAUUGGAGGGAAAUAACCUUUCUAGGCUAUAUAAUAUCUAAGGAAGGAAUUGUUAUUGACUCAACUACAGUGAAAGUUGUUUAAGAGAAAACGAUUAGAAAAUCCUACCGAAAUUUGAAAUUCUUGGUGGUAGUCGAACCUUUCCUUUGGUUUGAUCAAGGAAUUUUCUAAGAGUGCAAGAUUUGGCAACUUAUUUGGGAUUUUGAAUGUGAAGAAGAAUUUUAAAAGUGAAAGGUGUUUAACCGAUGCACUUGUGUUAUUCUAUUGAGCGGAGGAGGUAGUUUUGUGAUUUAUCUAGAUGCUUUAAAGGAUGGCUUAGAAUGUAUACUAACGAUACAUGGUGAGGCGAUUGUGUAUGUCUCUAGAAAGUUAAUAAAUCACGAGAGAAAGUAGCCAACUCAUGACUUGGAAUUAGUGGCUGUAAUAGUAGCAUUAAGAGUGAAAACGUUACCUAUGCGAGGUAAACAUAAGGCCGAUUAUGUUGCCCUAUGAUCUAGGAAUUAAAAUAUCUAAUGAGAAAAAUCAAGGUUUGAUUACUAGUUGAAUGAAUAGAAAUUGUGCGGCUUGGAUUGGAAAACGCAAGUUAGUAAUUGAUCUGGUAGACUUAACCAUUACAAGAAUGAUAUUGUCCUAGGUGUGAAUUUCGAAGACGAAAUUCCUUUUAAGGAGGGCAGGAUGUGAGGACCUGAAAAUUUUCUUAUUUAUCGAAUAUUACAAGUUUACUUAAACAUUUAUUUACUCAUUUUCUCCGAAUUAUUUAUUUCGACUAUUUAAAAAUCCAUUUAUAUGGAACAACGCCCCUUUUAUAUUUUAAAGCGUUUUGUUGGAAAAUUCACUUUUCAAAAAUUCGUUUAGUUCGGAAUAACGAGUACAUGUUUUUCGAGACUAUACUUAAAUCAGAAGUGUACUAAUAUUGGAGAGUUAAGAAUGAUCAAUGACAGAUUAAGAAAGGUUAAUUGAGGAAUUAAUACUCACUCAUGUGAGGACUCACAAAAUUUAUCUAUUUUAACUCCAAAUUCUAGCUCAUUUAAUUAUUUAUUUCGCCAUUUACUCUGAAUAUUAUUUUCUAGUCUCUUGAGACCUAAUUACAUUGAUCUAUGACUUACUUAUAUUUUUAGAGUAGCUCGUUUCAAAAAUUAAUUCUUCGAGACCCGUUAAGUGAAAAUAGUGAACGCACGUUUGGGAACGAUAAUCGAUUUAAGAGAACAAUGAGGAUUGGAAAAUUGGAGACAUCUAAAUAAGUCCUAAAAUAGGUAUUUUUAUGUUUAAGUGCUCAAAUAUUAAUUAGUAAUAUUCCUUUUAUAAGAAUUUCUUAGAGAUUUCGCGUUAUCGCGCUUAAAUUGGAAAUACGCGUUUUCACACGCGCGAUUUAAUUGAGGGACUUUAGACCCUUAGUUAGGGGCAAGCAAGAGUGAAUAAUAUUUAUAUGAAUAUAAGUGCAUUAGAGGUUUAGUACUCUAGUGCAACAAACUUAAGAGGAAUCGAGCACAAAACGCUCGCACGCGUACUAUUUGCGGUUGACUUUGUGCACCCAAUACUUAACCAUUAAGCUACCUUCAAGAAGCAAGCUCCAUCAGAUUUUUCUCUCUCUCUUCUCACUGUCAACAUCCGAACCAGCAAAGAAGAAAAACAACUCCAAUUCCAUCCUAAUUCCUUCACCAAAUCUUCUCCAUUUCACUUCAAAUUUCAACCACUCUUAGCUAAUCACUUGGAGAUUACAUCAAGUUAAGAAAGAGGGCUGCUUUCCACAACUUUCUUGGGCAUUCAUUGGACCGAAAAUUCUGUUCUAGUUCAUCAAGAGAGGUAAUGGACAAUCAACCCUUUAAAUCUUACUUUAUGGAAGUAGUAUUGCACAUCCAAGCUUAUGCAUGUUUAUGGGUAGCUUGUUAUAUUGAAAAAAUUGUUGUGUGGGUUCUAUGAACUCCCACUUUGGUUGGAUGAACUGAUUGGAUGAAUGAUGAUGCUAAUAAUGUUGGUUUAGUGCCUAAACUAGUGGAUUAAUGUUGGGUUGUUGAUAGAAACUCAAGGAGGGUGCAAUAACCAAAAGUGGCCAUUUUGCCCCUGCUUUGUUCGAGCACUUUGGUGCGAAAUUUUGAGGUUCUAAUGGCUUUUUUAUGUUGUUUACAUGUUAUAUUGAGUGUGUAAAAAGUUUCACUGAAAAAUAACUUGAUUUGGUCACCCAAAUAUUGAAAUUUCUAAAGGUUAGAAAACUGGAAUUUUGUUCCCGGAUUGCCCAGGCAGUCUUCUUGUUUCGGCCAUACCUUGUUGCUCCGAUGUCGAAAUUGAGUGCCAUUUGAGGUAUUGGAAACUAGACAUUCACAGAUUUUCAUUGGUAUAAAAUACAUGUCCUGGUUCCACUUGACCUAGCCAAACCAUUCGUUUGAAAUCCACUGUCCUGUUUCGCCGCUUCCUGGAAGGCAGCACAUGAGUUGCAACUUGAUGCUCACGAAUUAGUUGGUUAUGGACAGAUUCUGAAAAUGGUUUUUUCUGAAAAAAUAUAUCCUUAUGAGUUUUUUUUCUAACGUCACCAACCACGUUCAAUUCCAAGUUGAAUUGAGUGAUUUAUGAUCUAAAUUCAAAACUGACUUUGUGAACGAAAACAGUGUUUUGGACAGCUUUGAAACUAACAAUGACUUGGGACUUGUUAUCCGGAAUUUUGGUGAUUAAUUACCUAAAAAAUGUGUAUUGGAUACCUCUUAGACAUUGUCUAUGCACAUGGACCGUGCUUGAGGUACUUUGUUGGCCAAACCUUUUGAAAACAGAAAACGGAACAUACAAGGCAGAUUUGCCUUGAAGUUCUUGGAGUUUUCGUGAUUUCGUUAACCAACUUUCCGAAUGAAUUUUCCUGUGAAAUUUAGUAGAAGAAUAGCCCUUAUACGGUAGGAUAAACCUGCCAAAUUUGGUACCAUUUCAAGUUCGUUUCGAUGUUCAACCGAUGUCCCAAAAACAGUGAUUUAAAUCUGGAAAAUGAUAAACAGGUUCUAAAUUUCAGCAAUUUUAAGCUACCAUAUUUCGGUGCUCAAAACACCAAUUCUAGUUCCACUUGCUUUGUUUUAAACCUUGUUUGUAACUCUAAUUGAGUUCCAAAUUCCAAAGGCUGGUUUCCAAUGGGUGAAUUUUGCCGAAUUUUCAAAGUUGGCCAAAAACCAACCCCGAAAGCUGCCUUCAUGUUUAAAACAGCAAUUUUGAGCCAAUUUUUGAAUACUUUCCAUCUGGAAUCAUGCAAGAGUGUAUUCUAUGAACUUUUAGUAUGUUGGAAGAGGUUUUCAAUGGUACCAAGUUUUCCAAUUUUUGACUUGUAAAGCGUGAGGUACGAUUUUUCUAAUGUAUCGUAUGAAAACUGAAAUUUUUCGAAUUUCAAGGAAAUGGAGUUUUUCAUGUACUCCUUAUUCCUUCGAUACUACUUGAACGUUCUAUACUCGAUUUCCAAGAUUAAAACUAAAUUUCUCUUGUACUUUGAAACCCCACUUGAGAGUUUCGAUUUAGGAUAAAUAAGGCUCGUUUCACGAGACUUUCUAAGAUUGUACUAUGGUACGAUCUUCUUUAAUAGUAGGGGUUUAUAAAUAAUUGUUCAUUACUAAUUGUUCAGGUACACAAGAGGACCUUCAAGAGGAUCCCACAGUGAACGCCUAAAGCUCCGAGGGACAUAUCUUCCUCAUUACUUAUAUUGGUGAGUGUCAAGUGUAUGAAUACUUGAUACAAAUUUAAUUGUUAUGAUUGUUUGGAGAUUUUGAAAAUGGAGGCGAGUGUGUACUUUACCGCACUCAUUCUUAUUUGAAAUGAAUGACUCAUGAUUCAAAUGAAACGAAUGAAUUAUGAAUGACUUGAUUGAAUGAAAUGAGAUGAUUGAAUGUUGAAUGAAAUGAAAUGGUAUGCUAUGGCUGCAUACGUCGUUGGAGUGAAUCUCCUCGACUCUCAAAUGAAAAUGGGGGACGCCCAAACUCAUAGGCCGACCUUGGAGUCGAGCCGGCAUGGGUUUGGUUGGGAAUCUAGGCGAGACAUGAGAUAAUUAAACUCGACCUAAUGAUAGUUCUUGCUUGACAUACCCAUGGAAUAUCGCCUUAUAAAUAUCUUGCGGGCCCAGGAGGUGCACGGUGGACGGAGGGAAGUAAGUAGUGAUCUACAGAAUGGAAAUACCGACCCGAUUGACGGAGUGUCAUCGCGGGAAGGUAUACGAAUGCCAUUGGCAAAACAAGUGGAAAUUAGCUCCUGAGAGCUACCAUAUCCUUGAAUUGUUUCUGUUUACAUUUCAUUGGAAUUGUCAAUUACUUGUACUUUAUCCUUUGACCUGUUAUUUGGGUUUGUUACUUGGAUUAUGUGCUUACAUGUGUGUUCUUGGCCUCACGAGCGUUUUGCUCACCCUGUAGAUUUGUUUUUCUUAACAGGAUUUGGGUCUGGAAUGAGAUUCGGAGGAAUUUCUCUUUUAUAUAUUCUUGUAAUAGGGUUCCAACACUUUUGUCUAGACUUUUGGCUAUUGUAUAUUUUGGGUUAGAACUCUUAUUGGUUGUACUUUUGAAAACCUGAUGUAUGAUUUGGAUAUUUGAUAUACCUGGAUGUUGUAUAUUUUGGGUAUUGAUAUAACUUUUGGGAUUUUGAUAUAAGGAUUGGAUAAUCGUUAUAUAUAUAUUGUUAAGUUUGGAAGUUUUUCUGCACUUUCUUACUUAUCUGGUGUUGUUAAAUAGUAUUGUUCUAAACUUGAAUGGAUAUUGCUAUGAGUCCUGGCGAGAGUUGGGCAGGCAUCUCGCGGAUACCCUCUGGUUUGCCUUAUGGAGAAGUGGGGACGUCACAGUUGGUAUCAGAGGUUAGACUUCAGAUCUUUGUAGUGUAUCCUAAACUUAAUAGUUUAGGAUACCGGACUGUGGAAUUGGUUGAAAAGUUAAGUGACCACUAGUGGUAAUGAAAACUAGAACCUAGGUUUGAAUUAAUGGACAAUUGGAGUUCUCGAUCUUGUAAGGGACAUAUGGGAUAGUAUGAGAUAAUCAAAUCCAGUAUAUUUAGUAUAUUUGGUCCCAUUUAAUCUUUUAAUUUUAAUUGUAAGUUACGAAAGGUAACGGUGGCAUUGAACCAUCUUGGGGACGCAUUAUGGUGACCAUGGCCGUGAAGGGCCUAGGGGAGGGCUCGUUGGAGGUAUAAUCCAACUCGCCGAACUUGGACUUUAUGUGAUUUUCGAAGGACUUACUCGUGCCCCAAUAAUGGAGUGUUUAUAGUAGCCAAUCAUCGGAAGUGGCUAUCCGAGGAAAAUAGGAUAAGUCGAGGGGAUAAUCGAGAACUGAGGGCAAUUGCGGAUGCCUAGAUUACUAGAAUUCUUGAAGUGGAGAUUGAAAUACUUAAGGAGUAAGGAAGACAAAGGCUCCUUGUAAGAAGCAUUAAAAGAGCUAAGAAUCGACUUGUUGGGGUAGGGUCCGAAAUUAAAGACAGGAUGGAUAAGUCGAUGGCUGGGUGUGUUACUUUGAUUGAACAAGUGGAAAAUGACAAGAUAUUCGAUAAGGGACAUGAGAUCUAAAACUCCUAGUGCUGGAAAUGAAAAUGAUCCUACGGAGGUAAUUAAAACUGUUGGCUCCGCCAAUCACUAAACUAGUGAUUUAAACUAUUUUAAUAGUUUUUACAAAAGAUAGAUGGGGUGGCGCUCGCUUAAAGGCCAUUGCAUUUUGUAUCUUGUUUCACUAUGUUUCCUACCUUUUGAAGCAAUUAAACGUUACUCAUGGCAUACUUGACUUUACUGUUUCAUGAUUUCAAAUCCAUGAUUGGGUUGUACCCAUUUGCGAUUAUUUUGGUGUCUUUCCUUUCAUUCUUGUAUUUGUUUGGUGUGAUAAAGGUAUCACUUUUCAAAUUUCGUUUAUGUGCACUCACUUUAUGUCAUGCCUUUUGUAGACACCAAAUUUUUGAUUUUUUUAACUUUAUUUGUUUGAUUAAUUCAAUCUUAACUUUAUUCGUUUCAAUUCUAGGGUUUUUAUUUUAUUUUGUUUUGUUUUAUUUUUAUUUUGUUCUAGUUUAUUUUAUUUUGGUUUUCAUACUAAAUUUCAAAAAAAAAAAAAAGGGAAAAAUUGACAAAUGGAAAUUUGCAUGUGGGACAAGUGUCCCUUCUUGUUUUUUAACAACACAUCACCAAGGUGGCAAGGGGUGAGGGACACUUGGUAAGUUUUAAGGAAUUUUGAAAAAAAAAAGAAAAAAAAAGGAGAAAAAGAACAAGAACAGAAAAUUUUCGUCUAGGGCAGCCGGCCGAAAAAGAGAGGGAGCCGCGGAUGAGGCGGGGCGAGAGAAAUCAGAGGAGAAAGGCUUCAGCGAAAAAAAACUUGAGGAAAUCAGAGAAAAAACAGGGAAGGAAGCUUAGGGCCGAGAGAGAGAGAUCAGGGUGAAGUUGUUGGAACUUGAGGACGGCUGAAAAAAAAAUCAACCAAGAGGGGGCUGGGUCGGAAGCAAAAAAAUGGGGGAAAAAUGAAACAGAGGAAAAUUCAGGACGGCGGCGGACGGAGGUUUGGAAGAUCGACGGCAAGGGAAAUCCGAAAUUUGGGGAAGGUGAAAUUUGGGAGCAAAACGAGAGAGACUGAGGGAGAUAGAACAGAACAGAGGCCAAAAUCUGAAAUUGGAGGAAAAAGGUUUCGACUAAAAACAGGGGAGGUUUACGACUGGGUUUGGGAGGGACCGAGAGAAAGAAACCAAGAGGAACCAGGCGGCAAGCUAAGCAACGAGCAAAAAAUGAAAAAAACAGAGGUGGUCGGACAAGAAAGAAAAGACUAAAGGAGAGCUAAGGCUAGCGGGGUUCGAUGGAGAGAGGGAGUCUUCGGCUCAGGAAAACAGAAAAAGAGAGGACAAGAGAAAUGAAAAGAGGGGCAAGGAGGGAAUCGAGUAGCGGCCAGGGUGGAUAGAAAAGGAAAAACGCAGUUGUGAAGUGGAAGGAAGAAGACAGCGGCUAGGGAGGAAACCAGAAAAGAAAGCUUCAGCAAGAGCAGAGAGAAAUCUGGAAAUUGGAGGGGUUUCCCUCGGAGGAUUCGAAUGAAAGCCAUAGCAAGGAAAGUCAUGGCCGCUGUCACCACCGGAAUUGUCCACCGCCACCACUGCAAUCUGCCAUUUCCGCCUGAAAAAUCCUAUGCACUGUAAGUCUUACUUUCAAGCGCAAACUCUGGAAAUCCCAACCCCCAAAUUUGUCUCCGGUGAAUUCGUUUUCUUGCAAUUUUUCGGUGAUUUGUUCAUAAUUGUUUGACCGCAACAUUUUAUGGGUUGAAUUGGACUGAUUAUUUUCCCUUUUGAGAGCUUGGAUGUGGCCAACCAUAGUUUCAACACAUCAGAGAAUUAGUGAGAUUUUAAUGCCCACAACCUGUUCGAUGAAAUGCCCAACCGAAAAUUAUGUUUAACCGAUAACUUGUCUGCUUCUUGCGUGAAAGGAAAAUGACAUGGUCAGCAAGUGCAAUGGUAAAAUGUAGAGUUUUAGGUUUUCUCGCCUGCUUGUUAUGGCGCCAUUUCUGUUUUCUUUAUUCUUCCCUAUGUAUCAAUUCAAGCUACUGCUAUGAGGGGGGGGGAAAGGCUAGGUUUGAGACUGAAUUGUUGAUAUUGCUUUGAUUGAAAAGAAAGCCGAAAUGGAAAUGAUGUUAGCUUGCUAAUCUCUUGUUCGAAACCUGGGAUUACAUGAUUUUGCAAAGGGCUUUGAAUCACAUGUGUAACCCAUUGCAGUAUCCUUUUCCUUAUCUAUGCAAUUUUUGAAUCCUAACUUGAGCUAUGUUUUGGAACUUUUAUUUGGGAAUGGUCAAGUCUCUUCGUAUGGAUUUGUGUGAGUUGCGUUUGUCUUUUUGAAAUGAUCAGAGUUGAUUUUUUUUUGUUGCUUUUGUCCGUGAAAGGAAGCUGAAAUGGAGGCCGACAUUUAGAUUGUUUUUGGAAAAGAUGAUUAUUUGUCUGAUCUUAUAGUUCCAAUCCCCUGACUUUUAAGUAUUUCAUCCCGGCCCGAAUGAUUUGUUUUUCCUUGCAAGAAGAUCCUGAAUUAAUUUCAAAUUGACCCCAGAGCUUAGGUCUCUUCAUGUUUUGUAUAUAUUAACCUUUGUCCCUUGGCUUUUGCCUAAAUUCUGAUAGGACUUGAAAUUGGAGAAGUUGACUUAUUUCGCCCUUUUAAAUUUUUAUUAUCUUUUCAUUUUUAAGUAAUUUUUUGGGUAAAUUAAUUCUUGAUUUUAGGUUAUGAUUAUGAUUUAAUAAUUUUAUUUGAUUUUUAUCAUGUUGGGUUUUAGUGAAAUAAGUGUUUUUAGACUAAGAGGUUAUAUUUGAUUGGGCUUGUAAAAGGUGGAUUUAGUCUAUCUUUCUUUUGGGUUGUGGUUGGGUUAUAGAGUCAAGGCCCAUCUGUUUGGUUGGCUACUUUUGGGCCAAAAUAAUAUACUAGCCCGUUUUUUUUUGCCUUGGACUUUUGUUUGGUUUUGGGGGAGGGGCUUUAGCCCAAGAAAAUAGAAGAUAGCCCAAUGGCCUGUUUUGCCAAGAAGCCUGAUAACAAAAUUCAAUUCCAGUCCCUUGACUUUCGGAUAUUUUCACUGUGGCCCUACAAACUUUCAAUUUCAUUCAAUUGGAUCCUUAUUUUAAUUGCAAAUGAGUCCUUGAACUUUAUUUUUCUUUAAUCUUGGCCCCAAAACUUUGUUCAUUUUUGCAAUCAAGUCUUGUAUUCUUUUGACUUUUUGAAUGUGGGUUGUCUAUAUGAUUUAAUUGAUUCAAUUUCAUGAUUAUCUUUUGAUUAAAAUGAUGCCUUGACUUUUUUAUUAUUUUGGAGGGCAAAUAAAUAGUUUCUCCUCAUUAGGAGUGCCAAUUCAAGGGAGGUAUAAUUUCUUUUAUCUAUUUUUUGUCUCUCCUACGUGAUCCAACGUGCUAAGUGAAUUGCAUGUCUACUUUGUUUUCCUAGCCUUUCCUUAAUUCCUUUCAUUUAUGUCAUUUACUUUCAUUUUCAUUAAGUUAUUCUUUUAAUGGGGUAUGUGUACACCUCUUGGCUUGUAAUAGAUAGGGCUUUGGCGAGCAAUUUGGUCCAUUUUCCCCUUCCCCUUUUGUUUUAGUUAGUGAAUGUAAUAGAUUCAUUAGCUUAGUUGCAUGCCUAUGUGUUACGUGUUACUCGCUUUAUUAGGUUUUUGCAUCUAGUCGAGCAUGUUAAGUGUUACGUGCUAUGUGUUUAUAAGUGUUUGGCAUGUCUACUCGCUUUCCAUAGUUUGAAUGAAUAUGAUGGAUGAAUGUACGUUUCCACUAGUCCAACGCUAGUCGGAAUUCAUAGAAUGGGCUAGUCCAACGCUAGACCCUUAGGGAUUUCCCCUCGUUAGUACAUGUUUGCAUGUUCAUUACAUGUCAUGCAUUCUUUUAAGUUUUAUCAUUUUGCAUGCCCCUCGAACCCUUUUUCCCUCCAUUUUAGGAUUUUUUGCAUUUCAUGCUAGUUAUAGGGUUCAUUUGCUUGAGAGUCCCCUUAAAUAUGGGAUAUAGACGAGUGUGGCUUCUUCUAAAUCUUAGCACGCUUGUAUUCCCUCUAUAAAAGGGCAAAUUGAGUCACGAUUUAGGUCUCCCCGUAC